CUCAUGUCUCAUUCCUACAAGACCCGUAAUCUGUGCAGCGCAAGCUACGACACUCCAAAUGAUCCAGUAGGUAGCAGUGGGGAUAUGAGCCAUGGCGGUCGACAAUGGUGGUACAUCGAUCGAAAUAAACUCAGAAGGUAGCUCAGUGAACUCAACAAUGCAUUUGGUUACAUCAAUCAUUGCAUUGAUGAGCUUGUUAAGUGCAUCAAAGUGGGGUUUCAAUGUUUGGGAAUGCUCUAAAAUAUCGGGUAACUGCUUGAGGAGAGCCACGGAUUUGGCCAACGAGUUGGAAGUGCAAAGCUGAACGAUCAGCCAAAAUUCCCCAAAAUUCACCGCGAAAGCAGCUAAUGUUAGCACCACUUUUGCAUCCCAUGAAUAGCUUGAAAGCAUGUUGAGAAUCCCCAUUGUUGUUGCAUGAGCAUCCCCUCCUCCUGAACACUUGCAUGAUACCUACAAAACAUCAAAUGUUAGUAUCGUCAUUUUUCGGUUUCGGAAAAGAUCGAGAUUCCGAAAGAAAAGAGAACAGCGGAAUAACCUCGCAGCAGAUUUUGUGUACGAUAUAAGCCAAUGCAUCAAGUGCACCAUCAACGGCAGACGAGUUGGUCCGAUCAUCGAGAGCAUCGAUAUGUCCCGUUCCACCCUACAAGACAAAAAACAAAUUACCAUUGUUUUGAAAAUCUUUCUAUUUUCACGAAUAUAAACAUCAUGAAAUCAUAAGGAUAUCAAAAUUUACAUUCAUAGCAUGAUCAAUGUUGGGAAUGAUAUUACGCAACACAUUGUCAAUGACUUGGAGAAUUGGUUUAACAUCAACAACACGACCAUCAGGGGCAUGAGUCGACUGAAUUUGCUUCAUCAUUGCACCAUCGUCGGAUGCGGCCAACAUCCGACGCUCAUUCCUCACCAUUUGCUGGGAUUUAGAAGCUAGUGAUGAGAUUGAGAGUGAGAUAGGGGUAGCCAUUGUUGAAAAUAUGAAAGUAUUACUAUAUUUGAUGUUUGAUGUGUGAUGUGUUUAGUAAGUAUUGUAGGGUUUAUAUACUGAAGGGAGCAUGCAAUGGGGAGGGUGCUCUUUGUCUUGUUUAUUUCCUGUCCUUGUCCUGUUUCCACUUUGUAACUACUUUUUAACUUUUAUUUGUUAAUACAACCGACUAUGCUGUCUUUUUAAUUUUAUUUAUUAAUAAGGAAAUGUUUAAUACAUCAAAUUAAAUGAAACCUUGGGAUUUUUUCCCCUUCUUAUCUUUCUUCCUUGUUUGAUUACAUGCGUUUGAUAAGAGGACUGUAAGAAUGUAAGAUGGUGGGUGUAAUGUGAAAUUAUUUUGUUUGGUUCAAUUAAUUAUAAUUAAAUAUUUAGGUGUUUGAUUGAGAAAAUAUAAAAUUAUUUAAACCCACAUUUUACUCUAUUGUAAUUUAGUAUCAGAGAAAUCUUAAUUUAUAAAAUAUAAAAUAAAUAUAUGUACAUUUUUCUUAUAAAAUAUAAUAAAGUAAUAAUUAGCUUUUUCCAUAUCAAUAAUAAAAAAAUACAUCAAUUAUUGAGUUCAAACAAAACAAUUUACCUUUAUUUGUUGUUAGAGUGAAUAACAUCCGUUCACACUUGUAAAUUUUUGGAUAAUUUACACCUAAAGUAAUAAUAAAGUAAUAAAUGGCCUUCUCUCCGUAAUUAUUUUUGGCUUUUUCCAUAUCAAUAAUAAAAAAACACAUCAAUUAUUGAGUCCAAACAAAACAAUUUACCUUUAUUUGUUAGAGUGAAUAACAUCCGUUCACACUUGUAAAUUUUUGGAUAAAUUUGUUAAAAGUUCAUACAAAAACCAAAUGGUGUUUUUGUUUAAACAAUAAAAUAAGAUGUUUAAAAUUUAUUGUCAUGAUUUCAAAGCAUACUAUGUUUAAGUUUUUAUUAUUUAUAAAAGAUAAAAAGAUAAAAAUCUUCCUACGAUAAUAUAACUUGCUUUGUAUAUAAAGAGGUAUUUUGGUAAUUUCACAAUUAAGUUGUUGCUUAGUUGUAACACCAACUUAAUUACUGAAUUAAUAUAAGUUGGGCUACUUGUUUUGAAAAUAAUUGGCCAAGUUAGAGCCCAACACAUGAAAACCAUUCGAGUUGAAAUUGAAGACUUAAAGAUUAGUUUUUGCGGAUCAAAUAAACUCACUUUCUGUAUUUUAAUACAUUGAAUUACAUCAAGACUCUUAUGGAAUAAUUAUCGUAUGUUGAUUUGUAGCUUUAUUUUAUAGAAAAGAGAUUAGACUAUGACUCUUAUGUAAGCAAAGCUUAAGUGAUAUAUAAACUUAAGUUUUGUCUAGGUUAAGUGGAUCAAGAAAUACCAAGAGAUAGAGAGAGCACAAAUUUGUUCAAGUUAGUAAUGUUUUAUGCAUGCAUUGGUUUUGUAAGCAAUCAAGAGAGUCUCUUGAGUUGCAAAACUAAGAUUUCGAGGGGGAAGCUUAGUAGGAGAGUGAUCUAGUCUUUGUACAAUGGUGAGGUAACUAAAUUGGUGAGAGUCAAACUGAUGUUAGUAUUUAAAUCGUUGGUUGUACUCUGAGAAAGAUAUGUGCUGUUGCUUUAAACAAGGCCUGCAAACAUAGACUGAGGUUCAACUAUAUAAACAAUCUUGGUGUUCAUUUUUACUUUUGUGCACUUUUUUUUUUAUUUCGUUGUUAAAACUAUGAUGACAGUUCCAAACAUUAUUUUAGCCAUAGUUUCUAUUUGCAAAGCAAGUACCCCUCGUUCUGUUGACAUAGACUGGGGUUGAACUGCAUAUACAAUCUCGGGGUUCAUUUUUACUGUUGUUCAUGUUUUAUUUAUUUAUUUAUUUCGUGGUUAAAACUAUGAUGACAGUUUCAAACACUAUUUUCGCCUUAAUUUCAGUUUGCAAAGCAAGUACUCCUCGUUCAUGUGAUAUUAAAACUAAUUUGUCAAAUUUCAAGAGUUCCCUCGUACCUUUCAUAAAUUGGUUGUUAGAUUUUUUAGAAGUUUGUUAGAAUGCAAUAAAUAUUCAUGUGAUAUCAAAGUACAAUUUUUUGCACAUGAAUUUCUUUUGAUAUUAACCAUAUUUUUAUGGAAUUGAGGGUUUUGUGAAGACCUAAUCAUGCUUUAAACAUGCAUUCCCUCUUAAAUCAUUCCUAACAUUAAUAGUUAAAAUAAUUUUAGUCCCAAUGAAAACUAAAAUUUGAACAUCUUGUUCAGUAAAAUAGAGGAAACUCCAAAUAAACGUAAUCAUUCAUGCAAUCAAAUUUAAUGUCAUCUACCAUAUGUCAAUCAUACAUUAUCUAUUUUUGUCCCCUCAUAAAAACUAACACUGAUAGUGUUUUGGGGUAAUUUGAUAACAUUUGACAAGUUUAGAUACCAAAUUGAAUAAAAAGAAACAGCUUAAAUACCAAAUUAAAAAAGAAAAUUAUCAAAUUUAAGUAACAAAUGUUAAUUAAGCCUUCCUAUAAAAAAUAAAUCUCAAUUUUAAAAACGGUAGUAGGGCAAAAACCAUAAUUUAACUUUACUUUAACAGCUCUUUUGAGAUGGUGACUACCACUUUUAUUGGCUUAAAUAAUGAGGCAACUCUCUAUUAACAAAAAUAUUGCCAAUUUGUUGCGCGGAAGCGUGUGAAAGAGUAAAAUUAUUGUACUGAAAAAUCACACUAAGUUCAAUUCCCAGGAAAGAGAGGUAGAUCACGAAGAUCACUUAAAUACCAAGUCUUUCCAAGCCAGAAUAUCCCUCUAUCGUAAUUUAAUAGCACAAUAAAUCACUACAAUCACAUUCACAAAAUAUGCAAAACAAAUAAUAAAGAACACCAAAAUUUUAACGAGGUUCAGCAAAUUUUGCCUACGUCCUCGGGCACUACCAAAUAUAUUUCACUCCAAAAAUUACAAGUGAAAUUUACAAAUAGAGAGAGAGAAUAAUGCCUUAAGUAGAGAAUGGCAAUUAUGGGAUGAAGAAAGUAAGCAAUGGUUAGGCCUAUUUAUAGUUGAGGUUCAAGGAUCAACUUGCAAUGUCCCUAUACAAUUAGGGACCAAAAUUGCAAUUAUCCCAUGCCAACUUUUAACCCAACUUGCCAACCAAUAUUACUUUCUACUUUCGGUGCCCACCCCAUUUGACUUUUCAAACAAUGGUGGGUUCCAAUAAUCUCCACCUUGAAGAUUUGAUUACGAUAAUCUUAUCUUCACACAAUUCUUUCUGCUUUUGACAACAAUACUUGAUAGUGCCUUCUUCAACUGUUAAACUUGCAGGAUAUUAAUCAAGUUCAAACAAUGUUCGAACUUGGUUGCUGUUACCACCUUGGUCAUCAUAUCUGCGGGAUUAUCUGCAGUCUUGAUCUUCUGAAGACAAAUUUUCCCCUCUUCAAUAAUUUCCUGCACAAAAUGGAAUCGUACGUCGAUAUGUUUUGUACGUGCAUGAUAGACUUGAUUCUUUGCUAAAUGAAUAGCACUUUGACUAUCACAAUACACGUUAAUAUGCUCCUGAACCAACCCCAAGGUUUUAGCCAUACCUUGUAACCAAAUAGCCUCCUUUACAGCCUCUGUUACAGCCAUGUACCCGGCUUCUGUGGUUGACAAUGCAACUGUAGACUGUAGUGUUAACUUCUAACUUAUUGGUCCUCCAGCAAGUGUAAACACAUAACCGAUGGUUGAUCUUCGCUUGUCCAAAUCACCGGCAUAGUCAGAAUCAACGUACCCAAUAACACCUUUACCAAGUGUAUUAUCCUGCUUGAACAGUAAUCCAACAUCCACGGUCUUCUGAAUAUACCGUAGAAUCCAUUUCACAGCUUGCCAAUGUCCUUUUCCAGGAUUAUGCAUAUACCUGCUCACUAUACUAACUGCCUGUGAAAUGUCGGGUCUUGUACACACCAUUGCAUACAUCAAGCCACCCACUGCAUUAGAAUACGGAACUUGCAACAUGUAUUCUCGUUCCGUAUUCGUCGAAGGAGAUAGUUGUGCAGAAAGCUUGAAAUGAGAAGCCAACGGGGUACUUACAGGUUUUGUCUGCUCGUUCAUGCCAAACUACUGUAGUACCUUUUUCAAAUACUGCUUCUGAGACAAGCUAACUCUAUCAUGAGCUCUAUCUCUCCAUAUUUCCAUGCCGAGAAUCUUUUUAGCUUCUCCUAGAUCUUUCAUCUCAAACUCGAGAUUGAGUUGAGUCUUCAAUCUUUCAAUCUCAACUUUGCUCUUAGAUGCUAUUAGCAUAUCAUCAACAUAUAAAAGCAAGUAUAUGAAAGUUCCUUCUUGUAGCUUCUAAAAAUACACGCAAUGAUCAAAUUUACUUCUUGUGUACCUUUGCCAUUUCAUGAAUUGAUCAAAUCGCUUGUACCACUGCCUCGGAGAUUGCUUCAAUCCAUAAAGCGACUUUGUCAGUUUGCAAACCCAAUUUUCUUUUCCAGCAACCUUGAAUCCAUCUGGCUGAGUCAUAUAGAUUUCCUCUUCCAAAUCACCAUGUAAAAACGCGGUCUUCACAUCAAGCUGAACUAGUUCAAGAUCAUAUUGCGCAACCAAGGCUAGCAAAAUCCGAAUAGACGAAUACUUCACAACUGGAGAAAACACUUCAUUGUAGUCUAUUCCUUCUUUCUGAGCGUAACCCUUUGCUACUAAUCUAGCCUUGUAUCGAAUUUCAUUUUUAUCAGGAAAUCCUUCCUUCUUUGCAUAUACCCAUUUGCAUCCAAUUGCCUUCUUUCCCUUGGGUAGUGUCAACAACUCCCAGGUCUUAUUUUUAUGAAGAGACUGCAUUUCUUCAUUCAUUGCUUGCUUCCACUUUACACCAUCAGGGUUACUUAUUACUUCUGUGUAAGUAGAAGGAACAUCAUCAUCUGUAAUUGGAAGUGCAUAGGCCACUAUAUCAUCAAAGCGAGCAGGCUUACGAAUCUCUCUUCUUGGCCUUCUAUAUGCAAUUGAAUCUUGUUGCUGUAGAGGUUCUUGGGUAGGAACCUCUUCAUCAUUUGUCCCUUCAAUAUUAGCUGGAUCAUCGUUAACCUUUUCAAGCUCCACCUGCUGCAAAGUACUACUGGUUUUGUCAUCCUUUUGUGAAUCAUUGUACUUCAACAUGGUUGAUUCAUCAAAAGUUACAUCUCUACUGAAAACAAUCUUCCUUGUAUCAGGACACCAGAGACGAUAUCCUUUUACUCCAUCAGUUAUACCCAAGAAUAAUGCUUUCUUUGCUCUUGGGUCUAACUUAGAUUCUUUUACAUGAUAAUAUGCAGUGGAACCAAAUACAUGCAAAGAAUCAUAAUCAGUAGCAGAUUUACCAGUCCACAUCUCCAUAGGAGUUUUUCCAUUUAUUGCAGCUGAUGGCAAACGGUUAAUUAGAUGGCACGCAUAUGUAACUGCCUCAGCCCAAAAUUCUUUGCCCAAUCCAGCAUUGGACAACAUACAUCGAACUUUCUCCAGUAUAGUUCGAUUCAUUCAUUCUGCCACCCCAUUUUGCUGUGGUGUAUCCCGAACAGUGAAGUGUCGCACAAUGCCCUCAUCUUGGCAUACUUGUAGAAAUGGAUCAUUUUUGUACUCAGUACCAUUAUCUGAUCGAAGUCGUUUGACCUUUCGACCAGUCUGAGUCUCCACCAUCUUCUUCCAUUUCAGAAAUGCAUCCAAAACUUCACUUUUUCUUUUCAUUAGAUACACCCAUACUUUUCUUGAAUAAUCAUCAACAAAAGUAACAAAAUAGUGCAUACCUCCCAAAGAAGCUACUUUGGUAGGUCCCCACACAUCACUGUGAACGUAGUCCAGAAUUCCUUUCGUAUUGUGAAUUGCUGGACCAAAUUUUACCCUCUUCUGCUUGCCCAGAACACAAUGUUCACAGAAUUCCAUUUUGCAAGAAUUUGCACCUUUCAAUAAGCCUUGCUUCACCAAUGUCUGCAAAGCUUUUUCUCCAGCAUGUCCCAAUCGCAUAUACCAUAAUCUGGUACCCUCUGAAUCUACAUCUUUUGUAGAAACUGUUGAUGUUGAUCCAAUAACUGUAAUUCCAUUUAAAAAAUACAAGUUAUUUCUUUUUGUGCCUUUCAUCACCGUCAGUUGCCCAGCUACUACUUUUAGUAAUCCAUCUCUCAAAGUGAUUGUGAGCCAUUUAGAUUCUAGGGCACCUAAUGAGAUGAGAUUUUUCUUCAGGCUAGGUACGUAGCGAACAUCUGUCAAGACUUGGAUUGAGCCGUCGUGAUUAUUCAAUUGGACUGUGCCCACUCCCAUUGUCUUACAAGCACUAUCAUUGCCCAUAAGAACAAUUCCACCUUCUAGCUCUUUAAGACUAGAAAACCAGUCCUUAUUAGGACACAUAUGGUAAGUACAUCCUGAAUCCAAAAUCCACUCAUCCGUUUGACAUGCCAUUGCCAUGCCAACCAAGCUAAAGUCUGACUCCUCAUCAUGCUCCGCUACACAUGCAUUAGAAAUAGCCUUGCCCUUUUGUAGCUUAGGACAAUUCUUUUUCCAAUGCCGUUUUUCACAGCAAAAGGCACAUUCAUCUUUGGCGGGUCUCCCUUUGGACUUUCCCCUUCUACCAGAUUUGCUGCUGUGUGAACGACCUCUUACUGUUAAGACUUCUGCGGUUGUAUCUCUGUGAUCUCUUUUAUCUUUCUUUCGAGUCUUAGAUCUAUACAACGCACUACAGACUGCAUCAAAUGUGAUCGUGUCCUUCCCAUGAAGCAAUGUGGUGGUAAGAUGAUCAUAUUCAUCAGGAAGGGAAUUCAACAACAAUAAUGCCUUGCCUUCAUCUUCAAAUUUCUCAUCCAAAUUUAGCAAGUCUGCUAAAAUUUUAUUGAAUGAGUUCACAUGGUCAUUCAUCGACAUACCGGGUGCAUACGUGAAUCGAUAAAGUUUCUUUUUCAUAUAAAGCCUAUUUUCAAGACUUUUCGUUAGAAACUUUUCUUCCAGUGUAUCCCAUAACUUCUUCACUGAUGUCUCCCUCAUGACAGAAUACUUCUGAUCUUUGGCCAAACAUAGGCGGAUUGUACCACACGCCUUUCUAUUGAUCUUGGCCCACUCCUUGUCAUCCAUCUUGUCAGGUUUUUCUUCAAGGGCUAUAUCUAGCUCUUGCUGACAUAAGACAUCCAGGAUCUCACAUUGCCACAUACCAAAAUUAUUGGUACCGUCAAAUUUCUCUACUUCAAAUUUUGCAUUUGUCACAGUAGUCCUUGCUGAUGACGAUGCUGCUGCCAUUUUUCUCCUCAAUCCCAACUACUGUAUACGUGAGCAAUACUAUAUACGUGAAUAGUGCCGUAUACGUGAAUAGUACUGUAUAUGUGAAUAGUGUCGUAUACGUGAAUAGUACCGUAAACGGUAGUAUUCCCCAAGUACGAACCUGGCUCUGGUACCAAUUGUUGCACGGAAGCGUGUGAAAGAGUAAAAUUAUUGUACUGAAAAAUCACACUAAGUUCAAUUCCCAGGAAAGAGAGGUAGAUCACGAAGAUCACUUAAAUACCAAGUCUUUCCUAGCCAGAAUAUCCCUCUAUCGUAAUUUAAUAGCACAAUAAAUCACUACAAUCACAUUCACAAAAUAUGCAAAACAAAUAAUAAAGAACACCAGAAUUUUAACGAGGUUCAGCAAAUUUUGCCUACGUCCUCGGGCACUACCAAAUAUAUUUCACUCCAAAAAUUACAAGUGAAAUUUACAAAUAGAGAGAGAGAAUAAUGCCUUAAGUAGAGAAUGGCAAUUAUGGGAUGAAGAAAGUAAGCAAUGGUUAGGCCUAUUUAUAGUUGAGGUUCAAGGAUCAACUUACAAUGUCCCUAUACAAUUAGGGACCAAAAUUGCAAUUAUCCCAUGCCAACUUUUAACCCAACUUGCCAACCAAUAUUACUUUCUACUUUCGAUGCCCACCCCAUUUGACUUUUCAAACAAUGGUGGGUUCCAAUACAAUUCCAAAAGAACAUCCAUGUGUCUAUAUAUAUAUCCAAAACAAACACUUCUUUUUUUCUUUUUGUGCAUGUUUGAGAUAAGAAGAACAGCACUACCCAAAGUUACUGUUUAGUCAUUCUCAAUGCAACCCCAUAAAACAUAAAGAACAAUAAAGAAAAUUUGGUAAAUUUUGAUUCAUCAACCCUUGAGUUCAAAUAAAUCAAUUUACCACUUAUGUUAGAGUGAAUAGCAUCCGUUGACACUAGCUAUUAAAUGUUGUACCUUUAAUUCACAAUAAAAAGAAAAAAAAUCGCAUUCAUUUUAAUAACUUUCUUUCACUUAAUUCUUCAGAAAUGUCCAAUUUUACUUUAAUUAAGAGGAUCCAUCAGAUGUUAUCCCGGUUUAGACAGUGGAACAUUAGGCACAUUUUUAGAGAAGAUAACAAAGAAGUUGAUCGUUUUGGUCAAUUUAGUCCAACAUAGAACAUAUAACUUACUUUUGUUUGAGACCUCCCCGAUGGAGGGGAUAGUCUACUUUUUGUAAUUAGUUUAAUUAUAUUUUUUUCACUAAGAAAAUAACUUUCUUUCGCUUGACACGUGUAAACUAAUAUAUUUUCCCUUUAAAUUAUAACGUAAAAAUUAUAAAAAUACGUACUUUUUUUUACUAUACCGUUCAUAACUUAUGCUAGACUAAACUUAUAUAUAAAUUUUUUUCAUGUGAUUAAUUAUUUUUAAGAGACAGCUUCAUAUAUGUUUGUCAUGUUGAUAUUUUGUUUAUUUAUUUAUUUUCAUAAUUUAUUACUAGAUUAUAUAACACUUUUAUUGUUUGUAAAAAAAAUUAUCAAACAAAUAUAUUUAUUAAAAAUUUUAUACAAAAAUCAAAUGGUGCUUUAAUAUAAAUGGUAAAGAUUAAAUAUAAUUACGUCUAAAUUUUUAUUGAUUUAAAAAUAUAGAAAGACAAAAACACUUUUAUAGUAAUAUAACUUGUUUUGUACAUAAAUAAAUACAUUGGUAAUUUUUCAAUUGAAUUGAUGUUCGGUCGUGACACCAACUCAAUUAGAAAUCUAUACAUAAUAUUAUUCUUCAACCUGUUUUGUAUAAUUUAUUAUAGUAAUUUAAUUUAGAGAAAAAAACUACUAUAUUAUUUUUGUUUUAUUUUUUUUUUCAUGUAGAAAGUUUUAUAAAUUGUGAUAAAUUAAUAAUUCAUUUUAUGUAUUUUUUUCAUUUUCAUACAUUUUUAUAUAUGUGAUACAUUAAUAUAAAUAUCAUAUUCAAAGUUACAUUUCUUGAAUAAUUUAUGAUUCUCUUUAUAUAUUUUUAAAAUUGAUUUAUGUAUUAUUUUAUACGAGGUGACAAAUUAUUCGCAAAAACUUUCAAAUUUUCUUUUAUUGUAACUAAGUAUUUUCAUCUGUUUUACAGUUUAAAAUUAAUAUUGUUGAGAUUGAGAGUGAACUCAGAUAAAUUUUUUUCAAUAAUAGCGACUUUAAUAUUCAAACUAACUCCCACUUUUUUCAACCGCGUGUUAAUAUUUUCCGGAAUUUUGUCCUCAUUAAUGUUGGUAUAUUGAAAGUGUUGCACAAUGAGUUGUCGACGUAUUCUUUAUUGAUGACCUUUCAUGAAUAUGGUACUGAGAUGUACCAAAAAGGAAAACAAAACAAGAAGAAAAGUAAAUGCAUGGCAUUAUUGACGUGCGAAAAAAAAUAAAUACAGAUUUCAGUACAAAUAUAGAGUUUCAACUCUUUUUUUUCAGCUUAAUGCAUUGAUAGCAGAAGUGUUUAUGUGUGAAGUUAGAUUCAUGAAUGGUAUUAAUACAAUAUUAAUUGUUUAACUUUAACUUUAUACCAAAUAUAAACUUUAAAUGUUGUUGAAAUUUGUUCAUAUUUUAUAGAAAAGAUAUUAAACUAUUAGUUUUAUGUAAGUAAAACUUAAGUGGUAUAUAAAUUUAAGUUUUGUCUAGGUUAAGCAGAUCGAGAAAUAUCAAGAGAUAAAGAGAACACAAAUUUAGUCAAGUUAGGAACGUAAUUUUAUGUGUGCAUUGCUUCUGUAAGCAAUCAAAGGAGUCUCUUAAGUUGCAACGCUAAGCUUUUGAGGGGGAAGUUUAGUAGGGGAGUGAUCUCGUCUUUACGCAAUGAUGGGGUAGCUAAAUUGGUGAGUGUUAGACUAGUGUUAGAAUUUAAAUCAUUGAUUGUACUCUGAAAAAGAUAGUAGAUUGUUGCUCUGGGUAAGUGAUAACACUCUAGAAUAACGUAUUUUUAUGUAUUGAUUAUGUAUUUAUUCUGAGUAUGAUCCUGCUAAUUUGAGCCAUUUAUGAUCUUUUAUCUCAUAGGGACUAAAUUUGAGGCAAAAGCAAAAUUAAGGGCCAAAAGCGUGAAUUUAGAGAUAAAAUGGGCCAAUGUGCGAUACAAGGAAAAGUUGGUGCCAAAAGUGCAAGCAUGGAGGACACAAGGGUUGAAAUGCAAAAAGAAGAGAUUUUAUUCUAUUAAACUCUAUUUUAAUUAUAUUAGGAUAAUUAAUAUUGAGAUAAUUAUUAAGAAUUAUUUUUAGGAUUUUAUUUUAUCUUUAUUUAUCUUCAAUUAAAUGUAUUUAUCGUUUAGGAAUUUAAGUAGGAUUAGACUAUCUCCCCUAUCACUAUAAAUUGGGGGUGAAGUGACUCAAAAGAGGAUCCCAUCUUUUUCUGUAAACAUUAUCUCUCCAAAAGUCUAGGCUUUUGUUCUUCUCAUAUUUCCUUUUAAUAAAAUUUUCAUUUUUAUUUUAUUUAUUUUAUUUUCCACCACAACCAUGAGCCACUAAACCCAUCUAGCCGAAGGUUGUCGAAAACCCCCAAAAGGGUUCUUGAGGCUUAGAAUCCGUACUUAGCCUUCUCAACGAGUAUUCAUCGUUUCUCCACACUACGGGGCUGACGCUUCCGUCCAUAUCACUUAAGAAGUAAGCUUUUCAACGUAUGCAAAGGUGGCCGCUUUAUAUGUUUUGGGAAGGUUGCACAGUCGAUUCGUUAGCUUACUGUGUCAGAGGUUGGCGAGCCCAAGAGACAAAAUGGCGUGGGAUUCGCCAUUGAGAAGCGUUGAUCUAGCAUAAGACGAUCCCAUAGAAGCAAUUGUUGGCUAAAGUCAGAUUCCACCACAUCGUAAGUCUAAAUCAUUGGAGCUGGUGGUCGUAGGUGUCCUCUUCCACUAUAACUGGCUUAUUCGGUUUGAGAAUGAUCAUCUAAAAGCCGAGGAUUGAACCCAAGGCGGAACGAGACAACUGGAGGCUGGAAUCUCCUGUAAGAAUUUUCUUUCUCUCAACUCUAUUUUUAAUUUCUUGAAUUUUCGGUUCAAUAUUCUUAAUUCUAUUUUUAUUUUAUUUUUCUUUUCUAGAUCCAACCUUUUAAUUCUGUUAUUGUUUUUAUUUUUUUUCAAAAACGCAGGUUGUCUUGGGUAAGACUCUGCCUGGGAUUCCACAGAACAAAAUAUUGUGCAAAUCCAGUCCUUGAGGAUUUGACCCUACUUCCUUUUUAUUAUUCUUUUUAAUUAUUUAUUAAGGAUAAGAUAUUUUUGGUUCUUUCAACGACCGUAUCAAAUUUUGACGCCGUUGCCGGGGACUAACAAUGUACUAAUCUUGUUUUUUUUGUUUUUUAUGACCAGAUCUGCUCCAGGUACUCUUGCGUUCGAUUCAGAAAUUGAGAAGACUGCUAGAGCCAAUCGCAAGAAGACAAAGUUACGAAAAAAAGCAGUUAAUGGUGGCUAGAACUCAAAGUAACCUACCACCAGAAAUCGGAGUUGACGACGGAGCUGAGUCUAGGGUUAACGAAAACCCUACUCGAACACUUGAAAGCAAAAAAGUAGAAGUCGACUCACCAGAAGAAGUGCUUAACGCUAGGGUUAACGAAAACCCGAAUCUAGCACACCAACCAAUUGCUCAAAUGAUUCGGCAACUGGUCGAAGCUUCUACAGAACAACUGCCAUUGUGCAUCGCGUAUCCUACUAUGGAUACUGAUUUCGAGUUAAAGUCAGGUUUAAUCCAUUUACCACGAAAUUUUUGUGGGUUACAAAAUGAAAAUCCCCACAAGCAUCUGAAAGAAUUUCAUAUGGUUUGUCUUAGCAUGAAACCUCAGGGGGUAACUGAGGAUCAGAUUAAAUUGCGUGCUUUCCCUUUCUCCCUAACAGAUUCUGCUAAAGAAUGAUUAUUUUAUUUACCCCCUGGAUCUAUUACAACUUGGGCUGAUCUAUCUCGUUUGUUUUUGAACAGGUUUUUUCCAGCAUCUCGAGCAGCUGAGCUAAGAAGAGAGAUCGUUGGAAUAAGACAAAAAGAAGUUGAGUCCCUUUACGAUUAUUGAGAGCGAUUUAAAAAGUUAUGUGCAAGCUUCCCACAACAUGGUAUGACGGAGCAAUCUUUCCUCCAAUACUUUUACGAAGGUUUAAAGCCUAUGGAGGUGAAUAUGGUAGACGUCGCUAGUGGAAGAGCAUUGGUCAAUAUGACUCCCCAACAAGCGAGAGACUUGAUUUCCACGAUGGCUGCAAAUUCUCAGCAUUGAGGCCCGACUUGAAACCUUUGGCCAGCGACUGACCAAGCUCAUUGCCAUCAUUUGCGAUCGACAGUAACAACACGAGGAAUUUUCUAAACUCUUCUACCUAUUUAUUUCUUUUCGUCCACAUGGAGGACAAUGUACUUUCAGUAUGGGGAGAUACUCUUCGUUAUUACUAUCAUUUUCUGCUGUGAUUUUCGUUAUUGUUGCUGUUGCAGUGAUUAUUUUUGGCUGGUGUUGCUGCUUGAGGCUUUAUUUUGCCUAUAUUUAUUUUUUUGGAAUCUCCUACCUCUUUUCAUGCCCAAGAUUUUUACCAAGAAUUGCCUACUGUUUGACCUACAAGCAUGAUUCUUGUUUUCUGAGAAAAUUACGAAUUUUCCAUAAUUGAUACCAUCUCCACUGUUUUAUUCUUAUCAGACUAAAAAUAAUUGUAAUUCAUAAAGUUAACUUUAUCUUGCUUUUCGUAAAAUUGAUCAAGUUUAAAUACAAAGUGGACACUUAAUAUGUUUGCAUGCUAAAAUAUGUUGAUGACUAUUAAGGUAAUUACUGAAACUUAUUUUUGACACUUGAUUAUUAUUAUUAUUUCUCUAAAGUCCUCAUAAAAAAUAAGUUAUUAUUAAAAUGUCGUUUAAUGUUUACGUGGUUAUGAGUGCAGCUUAAAAACGUGUCUGACUGAGUAACCUGGGUAGGGUGCUUGGGUUGUCAUCCUAUUUCGCGUCAAAAGUUUGUGUGACGUGUUAGGUAAAACUCCGCUAACCGAAAUUAAUUUUUAAGAACAUGUUGGGCUGAGUAACCGGGGUGGGGUGCUUGGCUGUCAUCUCUCUUCGCGUCAAAAGGUUUGAUGUGUUCUUAAGAAAAAUUAUAAUAAAUUAGGAGUUUGCUGGGCUGAGUAACCGGGGUGGGGUGCUUGGCUGUCAUCUCUCUUCGAGUCAAAAUGUUCAGUAUAUUCCUAAAGCAUAAUAAUAAUAAAAAAGAAAAAAAUAAUUUGGGGACUAAAGGAUGAAACAAAUAGGGUGUCUUGGUAGGUUUGGUAAUUUACCUAAUUUUCAUUAAAUAAUUCAAGUCGAUUCUAAUUUUUGUGUGUAUUAAUUGGGAAACUUUUUCUGUUUUACUUAAAGCAAGCUUAGGGUUCUCUUUAUUUUUCAUAUGCAUUUUUGACUGAUUUUUAUAAAACUUUGGAGUUGUAUUUCUUUUAUGGCAGAAUCUAACUUUCACAGUAGAUAGGAAGCAUACUUGAGGGCAAGCAUGGUCUAAGUAGGGGGAAUUUAAUAACACUCUAGAAUAACGUAUUUUAUGUAUUGAUUAUGUAUUUAUUCUAAGUAUGAUCCUGCUAAUUUGAGCUAUUUAUGAUCUUUUAUCUCAUAGGGACUAAAUUUGAGGCAAAAGUAAAAUUAAGGGCCAAAAGCGUGAAUUUAGAGAUAAAAUGGGCCAAUGUGCGACACAAGGAAAAGUUGGUGCCAAAAGUGAAAGCAUGGAGGACACAAGGGUUGAAAUGCAAAAAGAAGAGAUUUUAUUUUAUUAAACUCUAUUUUAAUUAUAUUAGGAUAAUUAAUAUUGAGAUAAUUAUUAAGGAUUAUUUUUAGGAUUUUAUUUUAUCUUUAUUUAUCUUCAAUUAAAUGUAUUUAUCUUUUAGGAAUUUAAGUAGGAUUAGACUAUCUCCCCUAGCACUAUAAAUUGGGGGUGAAGUGACUCAAAAGAGGAUCCCAUCUUUUUCUGUAAACAUUCUCUCUCCCAAAAGUCUAGGCUUUUGUUCUUCUCAUAUUUCCUUUCAAUAAAAUUUCCAUUUUUAUUUUAUUUAUUUUAUUUUCCACCACAAUCAUGAGCCACUAAACCCAUCUAGCCGAAGGUCGUCGAAAAUCCCCAAAACGGUUCUUGAGGCUUAGAAUCCGUACUUAGCCUUCUCAAUGAGUAUUCAUCAUUUCUCCGCACUAUAGGGCUGACGCUUCCGUCCAUGUCCCUUAAGAAGUAAGCUUUUCAACGUAUGCAAAGGCGGCCGCUUUAUAUGUUUUGGGAAGGUUGCACAGUCGGUUCGUUAGCUUACUGCGUCAGAGGUUGGCGAGCCCAAGAGACAAAAUGGCGUGGGAUUCGCCAUUGAGAAGCGUUGAUCUAGCAUAAGAUGAUCCCACAGAAGUGAUUGUUGGCUAGAGUCUUGUUCCACCACAUCGUAAGUCUAAAUCAUUGGAGCUGGUGGUCGUAGGCGUCAUCUUCCGCUAUAACUGGCUUAUUCGGUUUGGGAAGGAUCAUCUAAAAGUCGAGGAUUGAACCUAAGGCGAAACGAGACAACUAGAGGCUGGAAUCUCCUGUAAGAAUUUCCUUUCUCUCAACUCUAUUUUUAAUUUAUCAAAUUUUCGAUUCAAUAUUCUUAAUUCUGUUUUUAUUUUAUUUUUCGUUUCCAGACCCAACCCUUUAAUUCUGUUAUUGUUUUUAUUUUUUUUCAGGAACGCAGGUCAUUUUGGGCAAGACUCUGCCUGGGAUUCCACGGAACAAGAUAUUGUGCAAAUCCAGUCCCUGAAGAUUUGACCCUACUUCCCUUUUACUAUUCUUUUUUAUUAUUUAUUAGGGAUAGGAUAUUUUUGGUGCUUUCAAAUACCGCAUCAGUAAGGCUCUGCGGACAUAAACUAAAGUUGAACUGUAUAAACAAUCUUGAUGUUCAUGUUUACUUUUGUACACAUUUUUUAUUUUGUAGUUGAAACUAUGAUGACAAUUCCAAACACUAUUUUAGCUAUAUUUUCUAUUUGCAAAGUAAAUAACCUCUCAGUUUCAUGUGAUAUCAAAACUAAUUUAUCAAAUUUCAAGAGUUCUCUUGUACUUGUCACAUUGAUUGUUAGAUUUGUUAUAAGCAUGUUAGAAUGCAAUAAAUAUUCACUAAUUAAUAUAUUUUAUUUGAUACAUGAGUUUGAUACAUUUUUUUAACGUGGUAUCUAUGUUGUUUUUUAUUUAAUAUAGUAUUUAAAUUUGACAAUGUUAAUUUUUUAGUGAUUAAUUCGUGUUCUAUAAUUGAAUUUUAUGAGAUAGAAAAAUAAUCAAUGUAUGACUGAAAUGUAGCAGAUGAGAUUUUUUUUUUGUAUUUUAAAUGGCCAAUUACUUUUAGUUUAAUUUUCUUUAGUUUAUUUUAAUUUAACCUAAUGAAUUUCUUUAUUUUGGAAUUUUAAAACUCUUGUUUUUUUUUUUCGAUAUCCUUUCAUUAAGUAUAGCUCAAAGCACAAUUUUUGCACACAAAUUUCUUUUAAUAAUGACGAUGUUUUUAUGGAAUUGAGGGCUUUGUGAAGACCAUGCAGUCCCUCUUAAAUUAUUCUUACUAUUAACAGUUAAAAUAAUCUUAGUCCCAAUGAAAACUAAAAUUUGAACAUAUUGUUUAACGAAAUAAAGGAAACUUCAAAUAAAUGUAAUGAUUUGUGCCAUUAAAUUUCGUAUCAUCUAUUGCAUAUUAGUCAUACAUUAACUAUUUUCGUUCCUUCAUAAAAAACUAAAACUGAUAGUCUUUUGGAGUAAUUUGUAUAACACUUGACAAAUUUAAAUAUUAAAUUGAACUAAAAAUAAUUUAACAGCUAAAUUAAUAAAAUAUAUCAAAUUCAAAUACCGAACGUUAUAUUAAUCCUGGGAAAACUUACCUUUACUUUAAAAGCUCUUUUGAGAUGGUGGCCGACAUUUUUAUUUGCUUAAAUAAUGAGGUAUAAGUCUCCAUUAACAAAAAUAUUCCCACUUCCAACAAAUAAUGGAGUGAAACACUUUUGAGAAUUGUGGCCAAAAGAACAUCCAUAUGUCUAUACCUCCCAAACAAACACUUCCUUUUGCUUUAUGUGUGUGUGAGAGAUAAGAACAGCACUAUACCCAAAGCUCCUUUUUAGCCAACCCCAUAAAACAUACAAGAAAAACGUGUAAAUUUUGAUACAUUAAUCGUUGAGUUGAAAUAAAAUAGUUGACCAUGUUUGUUAGAGUGAAUAACAUCCGUUCAUCCUACCUAUUCAAUGUUGUCCCCUUAUUUACAACAAAAAGAAAAUCUCAUUCACUUCAACAAUUUUCUUUGACUUCCACACGUGUCCUUUUAUAAAACAACACUAAGUUAAAUAAAAAUUUAUAGAUAAUGAUUCAAUUUUUAUGUAUUAUUUUAUAGGAGGUGCGGUGUUAUUAGUGAAAGCUCCCAAAUUGUAUAUUAAUAUUGUAAUCACGUGUUUUAAUCCGUUUCACAAUAAUAAUUUUAUCCUCAUGAAUGAGUUUUGUCAGAUAUGGUAUUUAUUGAUGAUCCCGAAAAGGAAAAAAAGAAAAGUCCAUGCUUGGCCUUAUUUACAUGUGAAAAUAAAUAAAUAAAUACAGAUUUCAGUACAAAUAUAGACUUUCAACUAAUUUUCUUUUAUCAACUUAAUGCAUUGAUUGCAGAUUCAUGAGUGGUAUUACUACAUUGUUGAAGUUUAUCUAUUUAGUAAUUUAUGUACUGUUUAAAUUAUGUUUUAAUUAUUGAACUUUAAAAUGUUACAAUAUAGUUACUAAUAUUAUCAAUUUGUUACAUUUUGAUCGCUAUGUCAUUAAUUGCCGUUCAUGGUGUAACAAUAAGAUCAAGGGUGAAUUCAAAAUAUAUUUUUAACAAGGGUCGGAAUUUAAUUAGAAUUUUUUCAUAGAUCAAAAUCUAUGUUUAUUAUGUAUUAAUUUAUAACUUAGAACCAAAAUGUAAUUUUAUUUUAUAUGAGGGCCAAGCCCUACCUACAUCUCUUCAAUUCCCCCUUGAACAAAAAGCUUUGGAAAAAUCAAAAUUAUUGGAUAAGUUUUGGGUAAUUGAAAAACCAUCUUUUUUUUAAUAUAUAGAUACUAGUUUGCUAUCCUUGUUUUGCUUUGGGUAAACAUAUAAUCAUUUAUACUCAUUAGAUUAAAUUGAAAAUCAUUUUUUUAAAAAUCAAUUUUUUAUUAAAUUAAAUAAAAGAUGAUUGUGUUAGGCAUAAAUUAUUUUAUAUCAAAUUAUGGUUAUAGCCUUUUAUUAUUUUUGAAUUUAAAAUUUAGUAUCUAUACUUUUAAUAUAAUUUGAUUCUUUCACAUAAUAUCAUUAAUUAGUUGAAAUAGUUGAUACCCUUAUUUAUUUCGGUUAAAAUGUUGAGGUCGAAUUUUUCUUAAAAACACCCAUUCUAGCUACAUGAAGAAAAAUAUAUUUUGUGUUUGAAAAAUGUUUUCAAGAGAAAUUAGUGUCAUCUUUUUUUUAUUUUAUAGAAAUAGCCAAGGAUGUUAAUUAUUUAGAUUAACUAAUGCCAUUUUAAAAGUAAAUGACCAAAUUACGUCUAAUUAAAAUAUAAAGAUCAAAUCUCAAAUGUAAACAUAGCAGAGAAUUUGAAAUUAUAAUUUUACCAUUACCUUAUAAUGACUACAAAAAGUAAAAAAAAGAAAAACAAAGUGAUGUCAUUGUUAAUACAAUUAAUUAGUACCCUUAUUAAUUUCGAUAGCUAAUGUGAAUUUUUUAAAAAAAAAACACUUAAUCCAAUUUGUUGACACCAUUUUUUGGAUGAAAAACGGGGUCGACUGAGAUUUUGAAAACGAAAACGGGAGUCGCCACCAAUCUUUUUUGACAAGGUGUGGUUGGAUCACCUUAAAAAAAUGAUUGUUUUUAAUAAACGGUCUGAUUUUAUUAAAACAACAAGUUUGGUCCACGAAAUUCAGAAAAACGGAUUCGGGAGUUGGUUACGCACGAGGAAGGAUUAGCAUCCUCGAUACGCCCAAAAUUGGUACCUAAUUGAUUACUUAAUGUCUUAAUGUCGAAAAUUGAAAAUUUUGAAGAAUUUUAAAAAUACGAUCCUUAUAUUAUUAAAACGUUGAAAAUUUUCAGAAAAGGGGUGUAUUUCACGUUAUUCGAGAAAGAGAAUCAUAUCCAGUAAGUUAGGACACAAUGUCUCGAAUUCCCGAUACGCAAAUAAAAAAUGCUAAAAAUUACCUGUUUAAAAGACAUUUUAGCCAUCUCGGAUUUAAAAAUGAGAUCACGACCAGUAAGUUAGGACGCGAUUUUUUAAUUCCGAGAUCAUUUAAAAUGUGAGUUUGAAAAGAUUCGCGCAUUUAGAUUUAUCGUGAAAAUCGAAACCCAGUAAGUUAGGGUACGAUCUUCUCGAAUCUAAACACGAAAUGCCAUUUUUAAAACAAAUUUUGUUAUGUUGAGUAAAAUAAAACACGAAGUUGUUGUAAAGAAUGUGAAAACUAAUUACAUUGUGGAUAUGUAUAUUAAUAAUUAUAAUGUAACAUGAAUAAAAAUAAAAAAUAAAAACGAAUUAAUAGCGUACUACAUAACGAACAUAUAAGCAGAUAAAAAAAAAUAAAGCAUUAAAUAUAAUAACAAUAAAAAUGCAAAAAAAGGUUAUACGUAUGUAUGUAUAUAUAAAAAUAUAAGAAGUAUAUACAUAGAAAUGAAAAAGAAUGCAUAAAAGAAUAUACAUAAAGUUCUUAAAUAUAUAAAGGUAUAUAAAUCAUAUAAGGUAUAAAAUGUAGUAAUAUAUAUAUUAGAAACAUAUAUACAUAGAUAGGUACGUAGAUUAUAAUAAAGGAAUAAAUGUGUGCUUAUAUAUAUAUUACAAAAUAUGUAUAUAUAUUAAGAUAAUAAAACACAUGCAUAUAUCGAUUGUAAAGUAUAAGUAGAUGUAUAUAUAUGUAUAUAUUUUAGAAUAGAUAAUAAAACAAAAUACAUAAUACUUAUAUAGGGUAAACAUUUGAUUAUAAAAUUAAUAAUAAUAUAAUAAUAUUGUAUAAUGAUAUUAAUAAUAUUUAAACACUUAAUUUUGAAUAAAAUAACCUAAACAGCAAAAAAAAAGAUUAAAUUGAAGACAAAACUAAACUCUGGGCUCAAAAUUAAAAAAUAAAAACAACUAAAAGGAUUAAAUCGUAACGUGCAUAAAAAGGAGGACCAAAAGGGAAAUAAUCCCUCGCCUAUUAAACGGCGUCGUUCUAGCAUGGUCUUGUGCAGGAUAGCCAAUGGACCAAAUCGUAGAAAAAACAAUACCGGAGGGCAAAAUUAAAACAAAUGCAAAAGGGGACAUGACCCAAUUGUAAACGGCCUCAAACUCUGAAGGACUGGGGACGCAAAUAACCCCUCUGGUCCAAAACGCGCGGAUCCUAGGCGGUUCGGGUCGGGUCGACACGCGGACCCCAGGGCGAAACGGCGCCGUUUUGGUUUGGCUAUUUAAGCCCGAAAUUCUUUAAAAAAAAUAAUUUCUUCUCUGUUUUUCCAAAAAAAAGGGUUUUGCUCUCUGCAGAGGGGUCUGAGAGCCUAGACGGCGUCCGAACAAUCGCCGCCGUGUCGGCCACCACUCACCGGCGCCGGUGCCUCCGUACACGGCGGUCGGAGGGCCAAAAAUCCCUCUUUUCGACCGAUCUAAAAGCAGGUUCUUUUCUUCUUUUCUUUUAACUCUAUUUGUAUAUAUAUAUGUAUAUGCUACAGACGUAUAAAAACUAGUAAAUCGAUAGGUAGUUUCGAAAUAAAAAUAAAUAAAUAAAUAGAUAAAAGGGAAAGAAACCUUGAAUCCUUUUAUGCUUUUUUUUUUUGCUGGAAUCUGUUUCUCUUUGCUUUUAUAUUUCUAAGUGAUGUUUCUUUUUUACAAAAGAAAAUAAGGGAAGCCGAUCCUUAAAACUAUAGCCAAGUUCGGCUUUUAUACAUCUUUCCUAUUGCUAGUGCUGUCAUUUCUCUUUAAAUGUUUGCAGGUACUUGAUGGCAUGACAAUGGCGGUGGAGCAGAGGCAAGUGGAGCGCAGCGUUUAGGGCGGUGGCAAGUAAGGUACUAGGGUUUCAAUCUCUGAAACUCUGUCUCACGUGGGCUUGACUUAUUGGGCCAGGGUGCUGGGUUAAUUUUGUAAAUGGGUUAGGGGUUUUAAUUUUUAAUUUUUGGGUUUGUAAUUUAUUUGGAUACUGGGUUGGGCAAAAUGGGCUGUACACAAUUCAUCAUCUUUAUAAUUUAUUAAGGGGCCACAACAUAAUUUUUCAUUUAAGAUAGGGUGAAUGUCCCUACCUGGUCCCUCUAAAUUUACCUGUGUGUUGUAUUAAAAAAAAAAUCCUUUUAAUGUAAAUUGUUGAAAGAAAAAUUUUAGUGAUGGGGCAGUGAGUAUUUUAUAAGUGCCAAUGUUUAUAUCUUUUAUCAAUUUAGCUUUUUUUAGCUAAAUUUAAUUAUCAAUAUUUAAAAAUGAGUAAAACUAUUUUUAACGGAAAUAUUGACUAAAACAUUAAUUUUUUAAUGAUAUUAGCAUGAAAAUCACAACCCGCAUGGUAGUCCAUGCACAUGACAUUAUUUGUCUUCUGUAUUAUGCCAAUAAAUAAUUUAAAAAUUAAAAAUUAAAGAAAAAAUUAUAAAUAGUUCAUAAAAAAAAAGAACAAGCAUGAAGUACAUGUUAAUUGCCACGCGGGCUACUAUUUUUAAAGACUUAACAUUGUAGUCAAUAUUUCUGUUAAAAAAAAUAAUUCGAUUCUUUUUUAAAAGAUUGAAUAUUAAAAUUAACUUAAAAAUAGAACAAAAGUCAAAUCCAAAAAAAAAAAUUAAAAAUUAAAAAUGAUAUUAUGCACGUUACCUUAAUGGUUUUCAAUUUCAAAACUUGACUUUAAUAGGAGGUAAAAAGAAACAAAAAUGUCAUGUUUGUCCAAAUAAUUAGUAUCUUUAUUAAAUUUCAGUAAUUAACAUAAAUUUUAAAAAGAAUAUUUAUUCUGACUCAUCAUCUCAAAAUAAAUUUUUUUGUUAGAAUAAUAUUUUAAAAAAUAAAUCCACAUAAAAAAAUUAGUGGAAGUAGUGAACAAUAUUAAAUAUUUAGACUAACUAAUAAUAUUAUAAAGUAUAUUGACCGAGUUAUGUUAAAAUUAAAUUAUAAAAUUAAAUAGAGCAGAGGGAUCAAAAUUGAAACAUUACCAUUUUCUUAUAAUAUGAAAAAAGUAAAGAGGACGGAACACAUGCCAACGCAUAUGCCUUCCAAGUAAAUAAAUUUAAAUUUAUGUAUAUAAAAUUCAAGCAGUAAGUUGAUCACCCAGGUAUUCAUCCAUGUGUUGUUAUUAGGAUUAAAAUUAAAUUAUAAAUUUUUAUAAGGUUAAAGUAUACAUUAAUUUAUAAUAUCAUCACUUUUUAGACUAAUUUUUUCUUUGGGAAGGGACCAAAAGAUAAUUUUUUAUUUGAGAGGGGUCUCUAAAUUCGUCCUGCGUUUGUUGGGUGCAGAUUUAAAGUUGUAUUGUAUUAUAUAAAAAAGAUCCUUUUAAUGCAAAUCGUUGAAAUUAGAAAAAUUUUAGUGGUGGGGUAGCCAGCACUUUAUAAAUACUAAUAUUUUUGAUUUUUUAGUUAACUAUAAUUAUUAAUAUUUUAAAAUAGUAAAAUUAAAUCCUUCGGCACAUGAAUUCUUGAAUUCAAUUAAAAUAACUUUAGUUGGAGUAAAUUAAAUCGUUUUCACAUUAAUUAUUUAUCAUAAAGCCCCUCUGUCCUUUCUUUUAUGACAAGUGUCCAUACUUUUUUUUACAUUAUUAUUCCCUUCUAGAUCUUAUACAAAUGGUUAAAUUUUAAUUUCGGUCCUUAUAUUACAAUUAAAUUUGAAAUAUAAUCUUUAUAUUUUAAUAGAAGAAUGUUACACUGAAAAGUUUAAUAGAAGACUGAACCUAAAAUUUUAAUGGCUCAAUUCGAAAUAUACACAUAUUGCAAGCUUUAAAUUUUAACUCUAUAAUUUAACCCAAAUAAUAACUAACCCAAUGCAAAGUGUAGGUUAAGAACCAUACUAGUAUAAAGUACUUUCAAAGGUUCAAAAAAUUAAUUGUUAAAAUGUGAAUUAUCCUAAUCUUAUUCUAGAACUUCUUUGCCAAAGAUUUGAAAUGGUUAAAACAUAAAAAAAAAUUAUAGCGUUUUGAGUUUAAAUCUCAUAAUAAACGAAGUAAAAAUUUCAUAAUCCGCUUAUAUCGUUUUUUUUUUAUUCCAUCGAUAAUGGACAAAUAAUUAUUCAACUUUUUAAUAAUAUGAUUAUUCAAUUUUUUAAGUUAAUGAAGACCACCAAAACAAAUGAAUAUGACUUACAUUUUUAUUAGGAUGUUUGAAUUAGAUUGGAUUAGUUGGAUUGGAGAUCAAUCGGAGUAUGAGUAUGGAGAAUGGUUUUGAAUUUGUUAGAUUGGGAAUCGAUAUAAACGGAUUGAAUCUAGAGUUAAAUAAAUAUAAAUUUAUGUAUAUAAAAUAUUAAAUCAAUAUAAAUGUCUGCAAAGUUCCAUUGAUUGAAAUAGCUUCAUCUAUAUCUAAGACGAGUUCGAUCCAUAGGUUCAUUUGUAUAUGUGUGUGCAAGUGCGAAUCAUGAAUUUUUGGGUGGCAAGCUGGUGAUGCUUUUAUCAACUUAUUUGCUUAAUGAGAUGUGAAUCAGGCUCGAGGAGAUUAUGGAGUCAUGUGAGCGUUUUUGUUUUCAAAGCUUAUAAAUUUUUUUUGAGUCUUCUCCUAUAUAGCGCCUUGCAGUUUUAUUAAUAAAAAUUUAUUUCAUGAGAAAAAAGAAAAUAAAAAAAUUAAAAUUUAAUUAUAAAUUAGGUAAGUCUUAAUUAUAUAUGUCGACUGAUUGAUCCUCCAUUAGCUUAACACAACCUUAUAUGAAUAGUAUUUAAAAUUGAUACGAUGAAUAAAUAAAAAUGAUAAAAGAGAAAUAGAUUGUAUGUAUUACUAUCUACGUUAAAUGAAUUUUAUUAAAUAGAAAAAUAGAUGGUUUAGAAAUUAAUUUAAUUUCUUUAAAUUAUCAUUUAAUGGAUUAUAAUUACAUAAUUGAAUAAGAAGUGAAAUUAAAUUAUUUAGUUAUUAGAGUUUUCUCAACUUCCUUUAGAUUUUUUAAAAAUAAUUAAUAAAAUUAUUUUAAAGGGUGAAAUUUAGUAUAAGAGAAAUCUUUGUGAUUCAUAUUCCGAGACACAGUGAAGAGGAUAUUAAGGUAUUUGAAAGGCACUAUUGAUGAUGGUUUACGAUUACAACUUUAUUUAAAAGUGAAAGCAUAAAUCCAAGUGAUAAACUUGGGAAACACAUUAUUUAGCUAAGGCUCUUCAAUAGCCGAUGGGGGAUAAUAAAAGAGCCCUAAACAUUAUUAGGAAUCUCACAAACAUCACUAUGUUGUAGACUCUAGAUAUGAAAAUCAUUAAUAACUCUAAACAAACAUCAAACUAUGAUGAUUGUUAUUUUUAUUUCUUGUAUUUUACUUGGUCCCCCCAAUAGUAAUUUAUUUGGCUUUGUUUAGCUCACUCAACACAGCAGCGAUACAUGAAAUACAUCUCCAUCGGACGUCCACACUCAGCACACUGCACCCUCUCCGGAAUCCCGCCACCGUUUCCCGGUAGGAUAAGACUAGUGCAGUGAUGGUCAUCGGUAAUCCCGUCCAAAUGUUUACGAAGUGCUGGGAUAAACCCCAUUUGCUUCGCAAGCUUUUCCCAUUCAUCAAAGCUCUUCAUGCUGCUAAUCACUUUCUCGCCAUUGGCUCUCACCAUUUCAUCUGAACCAGUGAAGAACACUGCCCAUCCAUUUUCACUACCGUCAUAUGCAAGCAUCGUUAUCACUUCUUGCUUUAUAACGUCGUUUUCAAUGGUCUUCCCAUGUUGGGUUUUCCAGUACAUCAUGCUCUCUAAUCGGUUCCAAAAGAACCACACAUUGUCAUCUUCCCAAGCGUGGCUAAGUUGCUUCUCUUUGAUUAGACCAGUAAUCUUUUUCACUCGUUCCUUUGCAUUGUUUUUUCCAACAUAAACCAUUUCUAAGCCAAUGUCUAGAGCCUUUGCAACCCCUUUUGUUGCGGUAGUGAAACUUUCGAUCCAUUCCAUUUGGACACCACCAUAAAAACAUACCACUUUCUGUUGGCUCAUCUGAUUAUAUAAGAAACCAUGCAAAGCCAUUAAUAAAUUAAGCACAUUAAUUGAUAUACAUAUGUAUAUAUAUUAAAGUUACGAGGAGAUGUUCAUGUACCCAAGUAGGUAAGUUGGGCUCAAGGCGAUGAACGAGAAGCUCAAGGGUCCAAGCUUCAGCUUUCCAAAAACUUUCUUCUUUUUCACUGCUAAAUGGGAAAGCUGAAUUUCCCCAUAUCCACAUCAUGUUGAGUGCAUUUGGGCAUAAAACCUUUCCUUGUGGAUCCAAUGUCACUGCAAUUGGUUUCUUAAAGAAACCCCAUACUUCCAUUAUGUAUUUAAUCACUGCUGGUUCAAUGGCAAAAGGAUGUUUCACUGUAUACCAUGACAUAAUUGAUUUCAAGCUCAAAAACUUUUGCUCGAAACCAUCAUUCCAAGUUGAUCUGUCCACAAUUGGGAGCCAUAGAAUCUCAUAGUUAAGCUCAGAUGAUACCCUUUCACCUUUGUAAAGAGCCUCAAGAACUCGAAUCUCCUCAUGGGAGCUGUCAAGAUCUGAAAUGAGCAAUAAAACAUGCUUUCUUCUCAAGACAUCAAUAAGAACCUGUUAAUUUAUAUGAAGUUAAUAUACGGUCCAAUCAAUUUAAAAACAGGGUUGAAACUUGGAACAUGGAAUUAAAUCAACCUCGGUCUUCUCUGGAUUCUUGAGAUAACAAGUCUCUUCCUUGCGGAAGAUUUUUAGGAGAAUCUUCAAGUUGUCCAUUUGAGGUGUUUCAAUAGUACGCUUGAAGUCUUCAAAAGCUUCCAUUAGCUUCUUCUCAUCUGCAUCUCAUUACCAUUAUGUUUAUAUAAAUAUAAGGUAAAAGUACUAUUGAGGCUCUUAAUAUAAGAGUUAGAUUAUAUUUUGCCCUCUUUAUUUAUAAAAUUGACACAUUAGUCUUUAUAUAUUAGAUCAAAGAGCAAUAUAAUUUUUUUUGUUAAAAAUUUCAUCAAUUUCUAUCGUAUAUGGAUUAAUUUGCUCACUUUUUGAAUAUAAAAGGCAAGAUGCAAUCAUAGUAUAAGUGAUCCAUGGCAAUUUUAGUAUAUAUACAUAUAUGAUUUAGAGUUCUCUAGGAUGGACUCACCAAUGCGCUGAUAACAAAGACGUAAUAGACUUUGAAGGUGUUCAUGUAUGCUACUAACUUUAUGUGCCAAGCUUGAUAGUUCCCAUGCCUCCGAAGUCGAUGUAAUGAACCUGAACCAAAAACAAAAAAAUGAUUUGAUUAUUGAUAAAUUUGGUCAUCAUAUUGUGUCAUUGAGAGCACGUAAAGAAUUCAUCUCUCACUCGUGUCUCAUCCCUACAAGACCCGUAAUCUGUGCAGCACAAGCGACGUACUCCAAAUGAUCCAGUAGGUAGCAGUGGGGAUAUGAGCCAUGGCGGUCGACAAUGGUGGUACAUUGAUCGAAAUAAACUCAGAAGGUAGCUCGGUGAACUCAACAAUGCAUUUGGUUACAUCAAUCAUUGCAUUGAUGAGCUUGUGAAGUGCAUCAAAGUGGGGUUUCAAUGUUGGGGAAUGCUCUAAAAGGUCGGGUAAUUGCUUGAGGAGAGCCACGGAUUUGGCCAACGAGUUGGAAGUGCAAAGCUGAACGAUCAGCCAAAAUUCCCCAAAAUUCACUGCGAAAGCAGCUAAUGUUAGCACCACUUUUGCAUCCCACGAAUAGCUUGAAAGCAUGUUGAGAAUCCCCAUUGUUGUUGCAUGAGCAUCCCCUCCUCCUGAACACUUGCAUGAUACCUACAAAACAUCAAAUGUUACUAUCGUCAUUUUUCGGUUUCGAAAAAGAUCGAGAUUCUGAAAGAAAAGAGAACAGCGGAAUAACCUCGCAGCAGAUUUUGUGUACGAUAUAAGCCAAUGCAUCAAGUGCACCACCAACGGCAGACGAGUUGGUACGAUCAUCGAGAGCAUCGAUGUGUCCCGUUCCACCCUACCAGACAAUAACAGAAAACAAAAGCCAAAUUACUAUUGUCUUGAAAAUCUUUCUAUUUUCAUGAAUAUAAACAUCAUGAAAUCAUAAGGUUAUCAAAAUUUACAUUCAUAGCAUGAUCAAUGUUGGGAAUGAUAUGAUGCAACACAUUUUCAAUGACUUGGAGAAUUGGCUUAACAUCAACAACACGACCAUCGGGAGCAUGACUCGACUGAAUUUGCUUCAUCAUUGCACCGUCAUCGGAUGCGACGAACAUCCGGCGCUCAUUCCUCACCAGUUGCUGGGAUUUAGAAGCCAGUGAUGAGAGUGAGAGUGAGAUAGGGGCAGCCAUUGUUGAAUAUAUGAAAGUAUUACUAUUUUUUGAUGUUUGAUAUGUGAUGUGUUUAGUAAGCAUUGUAGGGUUUAUAUAAUGACGGGAAUAUGCAAUGGGGAGGGUGCUCUUUGUCUCGUUGUAUUAGCCGUCCUCCUCAUCUUUUUGUAUUUUUUUUUAAUUUUAAUCUCGUUAGUAUAUAUGUUGUUAUAUAUAAUAUCUACAACUACUCAUAACUCUUUUCAACCUUUAAAUAGGAGAAUAAUGUGCUCAACGUACUCGAACUCACAUCCUUCUAUACUAGCAACAUAUAUAUAUUUAUAAAUAAAUAUACAAUGUUGAAAUAAAUUUGUAAAAUAUAAUAAUUGUAAUUGUAACUGUAACGCAUCACAUCUCCUAACUCACUAUUAAGAACAAAUAUAUAUUGUUUUUAAUUAUUCUUAAGUUUUAUUUAAAUUUUUUUUUAAAUUAAUUAAAAUAAUAAAAACAAAUAGUAAAUUCAUUCAAAAUUUAAGAUUACGCUCGCAAUCUAAAAUAACUUAAGGAAUAAAUCAUAAUGGGAUUGCAUCUUAUAUUACAACAUCUUAAAUUAUGAAAUGACCGAAACAUUAAAUUUUAAACAUAGUAAACUUAUUAUAAAAUGAGGUGACAUUCGAUUAACCAACUCCAAAAUGGUUGUUUCCAUUGCUUGGGACCCCAAAGUUAAGAUGACAGUAUUGUGAAUAACAUCUGUUCACACUAGGUGUUCUUUUCACUUCUUACCUUUUUUUGUUAGAGUGAAUAACAUCUGUUCACACUAGGUGUUUUUUAACAUCACCAUAGUUAAUUUUUAGAUAAAUUACGCCUAAAGUCAUUAAACUAUUAAUAAAUUUAUAUUUUGGUCACUUAAUUUCAAAAAAUUAUAAAAGUUAUUGAACUAUUUUAUUUUUUAAAUACUAUAAAUUCAUAUAAAAAAUUUUGUUUCGUGUUCGUGCUAUUUUAUAUUAAAAAUUAUAAUAUUUUAAUAUAAUAAUUAUUUUUAUUGAUAUUAAUAUAUUUUAUAUUUGUAUUGUGUUUGUGUUUAUGUUUUAUGUUUAAAGAGCAUGUUCAUAUAUAUUUUUUAUUGUAUAUUUGCAUAAUGUAUUAUUAGAUCAUGCGAUGCUUACAAUGUGGUAAAAAAAAGUAUGAAAUAAAAGAUCUAUACUAUACAUAAUGCUUUUAAAUGAGUUGGUAUCACUCAUUAAUCCGGUUCCAACUCAAAUGUAAAUUUAUUAAAAAGGACCAUUUAUUUUACAAAACAUAUAUUAUUUUGAGGGUAUUUAUGUGAUUUUAUAUUUUGAUAAAAUUAGAAAAUUAUAUGUAUAUGAUGGGGUUUGAACCCUAAAAAUUUUAAUAUGUCUCUCUUAAUUUUAUCAUUUCAAUCGAAGCUUAUAUUUAAUUUUUAAAUCAAAUUUUAAUAAAUUUAUUUAUAUAAUUGUCUUCACCCACAUAGUGGGUGUGCCAUAAUAUUGUAUUUAUUAAAAGUUCAUACAAAAAUCAAAUGGUGCUUUGGUUUAAAUAGUAAAGAUUAAAUGUUUAAAAUUUACUGUGUCAUGAUUUCAAAUCUUAUUAUGUUUAAGUUUUUAUUAUUUAUAAAAAGACAAAAACACUCUUGUAAUAAUAUAACUUGCUCGGUACAUAAAAAGAUAUUUUGAUAAUUUCACAACUGAGUUGUUGGUUGGUUAACUUGUAAUACUAACUCAAUUAAGAGCCUAAUAUAAGUAUAGAUAAUAAUUCAAUUUUUUUCAUCCACAUUUUAAUGUUAUUCUUCAACCUAUUUUGCAUAAUUUAUUAUAAUAAACUAAUUUAGAGAAAAAUAUACUAUAUUAUUUUUUCUUUAAUUUUUUAUGUUAGAAAGUUCUAUAAAUUUAUAUAAUUUGCGAUAACCUACUAAUUCAUUUUAAACAUUUUCAUAUAUGUGAUGUAAAAAAAAAAGAUUUCUUGGAAGUUUUGAUGCAUAUUCUCAAUUAGUAAAUGUACAGAUUUAAAUCAUAAAAUUAUGGUUUUAUAUUCUAUUCCAUGAGACCUUUACAACGGUAUAUCGUAUGCUCAAAAUGGUUGAGUGAUGAAUGAGAAAUUGAUACUCAAAGUAAGCCACUUGUGAAUUAUGUUGAGGAAAACUAACUUGGUAGUUAUUGAACAACUAAACUAAUGCUUUCCCUCGCGCACAAGGAAUAUAAAUCCAAACUCACUGGGAUACAUUAAUAUAAAUAUCAUAUUCAAUCGUAAAUUCAAUAAGAAAUAUAUUAUAGUAUUUAUAAUUCUCUUUAUAUAUUUUUUGAAAUUAAAUGUGUUUUUUAAAAGUGAAUGUAUGUAUUGUUUUUAUACAAGGUGUCACAUUAUGGGUGAAACCUUUCAAUUUUUUUGUGUGUAAUUAUAUGUGUUUUCAUUCGUUUAUUGUUUGAGAUUAAUUAUGUUGGGGUCGAAAUUGGAUUCAAAUAUAUUUAUGUACUAUUUUUAUACGAGACACCAUAUUAUUGAAGUUUUAAAAGUUACAAUAUGGUGUAACAUUAUCAAUUUGUCACAUUUUUAUCACUAAGCCAUUAAUUGAUGUUAAGGGUGUAACAGUAAGUUGAUGUGGUAUGUUAUAUCAUAAUUUUAGACGAAAUUUUUAGGUCAAAUUGCAUAAUUAGUCACUGUACUUGUAUAUUUGAUUCUCAUUAGGGGUGGCAAUUUGGAUAUCCAUGAAUAUUCUCAUUAAGAAUAUUUGAUUCUCACAGAUAUAGAAUGAAUAUUCAUUUUUACUUUUGUACACGUUUUGGUUAAAACUAUUUUGACAGUUGUAAAUAUUAUUUUAACCACAAUUUUAUUUGCAAAGCAAGUACCCAUUGCUCACGUAAUAGUAAAACUAAUUUAUCAAAUUUCAAGAGUUACCUCGCACUUUUCACACAUUGGUUGAUAGAUUUUUUAGAAGGUUGGCAGAAUGCAAUAAAUAUUCACUAAUUAAUAUAUUAUUUGCAUAACAUUAUUUAUAUGGGAACAAAAAUAAAUUCUAUAAAUUUUUUUUCAUCUACUUAUUAAUGCAUUCAUAGCUGAAGCACUUAUGUGUCAAAGUUAGAUUCAUGAAUGGUACUAGUACAAUAUUAAUUGUUUAACUCUAUAAAAUAUGAUUUUUAAAUAUUGUUAAAAUUUAUUCAUAUUUAUAAAUAAUUAAUGGGUAAAUUACAAAUUUAAUAAUUUAUGUAUGAUUUAAAUUAUACUUUUAUCAUUAAACUUUAAAAAGUUGCAAUAUGAUUACUAAUAUUAUCAGUUUAUUAUAGUUUGAUCAUUAAGCCGUUCAUUUUCAUUAAUGGUGUAAUAAAAAGAUCAGAGCCAAAUCCAAUUUUUCUUAAUUAAAGCCAAAUUUAAUUAUAAUUUUUUAUACAUCAAAAUAUAAAUUCAUUAUAUAUUAAUUUAUAAUUUUAUNNNNNNNNNNNNNNNNNNNNNNNNNNNNNNNNNNNNNNNNNNNNNNNNNNNNNNNNNNNNNNNNNNNNNNNNNNNNNNNNNNNNNNNNNNNNNNNNNNNNNNNNNNNNNNNNNNNNNNNNNNNNNNNNNNNNNNNNNNNNNNNNNNNNNNNNNNNNNNNNNNNNNNNNNNNNNNNNNNNNNNNNNNNNNNNNNNNNNNNNNNNNNNNNNNNNNNNNNNNNNNNNNNNNNNNNNNNNNNNNNNNNNNNNNNNNNNNNNNNNNNNNNNNNNNNNNNNNNNNNNNNNNNNNNNNNNNNNNNNNNNNNNNNNNNNNNNNNNNNNNNNNNNNNNNNNNNNNNNNNNNNNNNNNNNNNNNNNNNNNNNNNNNNNNNNNNNNNNNNNNNNNNNNNNNNNNNNNNNNNNNNNNNNNNNNNNNNNNNNNNNNNNNNNNNNNNNNNNNNNNNNNNNNNNNNNNNNNNNNNNNNNNNNNNNNNNNNNNNNNNNNNNNNNNNNNNNNNNNNNUUUUGUGAAGUAAUCGAUAACCACAAAAAUGAAUCGAUGUCCAUUUGAAGCUUUUGGAGAAAUUGGCCCUAUGACAUCCAUGCCCCACAUAGAAAAAGGCCACGGAGAAGUCAUGACAUGAAGGGGUGAAGGGGCUACAUGAAUUUUAUCGCCGUAGAUUUGACAUUUGUGGCAUUUUCUGGCAACAUUGAUGCAGUCACUUUCUAUUGUCAGCCAAUAAUAACCGAGUCUCAUGAUCUUUCUGGCCAUAUUGAAACCAUUGGCAUGCGUUCCGCAAAUUCCCUCAUGGACCUCUUCAAGUAUCUUUCUGGUUUCAACGUCAUCCACACAUCUCAAAAGCAUCUGAUCCUUUCCUCUUUUAUACAGGAUAUCCCCAUCAAGAACAAAUCCCGCUGCCAUUCUUCUAAUUGUUCUUUUAUCGUUCUCAUUCGCUUGUUCGGGAUACCUUUGACUCUUGAUAUAUUCUAAGAUAUCAUAGAACCAAGGCCGUCCGCUUACUUCUUUCUCAAUGCUACAACAGUGUGCAGGGACCUCGUAUAUGCUCAUUUUGAGGGGCAUUAUUUCUGCUUCUCUACUUGCUUUGAACAUUGAAGCCAAAGUGGCUAGGGCAUCAGCCAGUUGGUUCUCUUCUCGUGGGAAGUAAUGAAAAGUUAUUUCUUUGAAUUCCUUGGUCAAUCCAGCCACUAAAUCGCUGUACUUAAUCAAUUUUGAGUCCCUCACUUCCCAUUCUCCACGGAUUUGGUAAAUCACUAGGGCUGAGUCCCCGUACACCUCCAAGAUCUCGAUGUUUCGUUCGAUAGCUGCACGAAGCCCCAUGAUACAGGCCUCAUAUUCUGCGAUAUUAUUGGUACAGAAGAAGUUCAGUCUUGCAGUGAACGGAUAAUGAUUCCCGUCUGGUGAUACCAGGAUUGCUCCAAUUCCAUGCCCUAAAGCAUUUGACGCACCAUCAAAGCACAUCUUCCAUGACUUCUCUUUUGAUGACUCGGAUUCUAUUUCUGUGAUGCACAUUAAGUCUUCGUCUGGGAAAUUGAAUCUUAAAGGCUCAUAUUCCUCUGUCGUUCGAGUUGCUAAGAAGUCAGCUAUUGCGCUCCCUUUUAUUGACUUCUGACUUACAUAGGCAAUGUCAUAUUCCGAAAGGAGGAGCUGCCAUCGUGCCAUUCUUCCUGAUAGUGCCGGCGAUUCCAUCAUGUAUUUUAUUGGGUCCAGCUUUGAAAUUAGCCAUGUCGUGUGAUACAACAUAUAUUGUCUGAGUCUCCGAGCUACCCAAACCAGAGCGCAACAAUAUUUCUCAACGGAUGAAUAUUUUGCCUCAUAUUCAGUGAACUUUUUGCUGAGGUAGUAGAUCGCCUUUUCUUUCUUUCCUGACUCGUCAUGUUGUCCCAGUACGCAACCCAUUGAACUUUCGAACACUGUCAGAUACAAAAUUAAUGGUCUUCCCGGAGUUGGCGGUACUAGCACUGGAGGACUGGACAAAUAUUGUUUUAUCUUAUCAAAGGUCACUUGGCAUUCCUCGUUCCAUUCUCCCGGGUUAUGUUUUCGAAGAAGCCGAAAGAUUGGGUCGCAUUGGUUGGUAAGUUGAGCAAUAAAUCGGGCGAUGUAAUUUAAUCUCCCUAAAAAUCCUCUAACUUCUUUUUGCGUUCGCGGAGGUGGUAAUUCUUGGAUGGCUUUUAUUUUAUCUGGAUCAACUUCGAUACCUCUUUCACUGACAAUGAAGCCUAGCAACUUUCCCGAGGUAGCCCCGAAUGUACAUUUGGCUGGAUUAAGCUUUAGCUGAAACUUUCUCAGCCUUUCGAACAACUUCUUGAGGUUCAUUACAUGCUCUUCUUCUCCUCGAGAUUUAGCAAUCAUAUCGUCGACGUAGACCUCUAUUUCUUUAUGCAUCAUGUCAUGGAAUAACGUCACCAUAGCCCUCUGAUAUGUUGCCCCAGCAUUCUUUAACCCGAAUGGCAUCACCUUGUAGCAGAACGUUCCCCACAUUGUUAUGAAGGUAGUUUUCUCCAUAUCCUCAGAAGCCAUCUUGAUCUGAUUAUACCCCGAGAAUCCAUCCAUGAAAGAAAACAAUGAAUGUUUUGCUGUGUUGUCCACCAACGUGUCAAUAUGUGGCAAGGGAAAAUUAUCUUUUGGGCUUGCUCGAUUCAGGUCACGGUAAUCCACGCACAUUCGUACUUUUCCAUCUUUCUUUGGUACCGGGACUAUGUUAGCCACCCAUUCUGGAUAUUUCGAGGCUUGUAGGAAGCCAGCGUCAAAUUACUUCUUGACUUCCUCUUUUAUUUUCAACAGCAUUUCGGGCCUCAUCCGUCUUAAUUUUUGUUGGAUGGGCUUGCAUUCUGGCUUUAAUGGGAGCUUAUGGACCACUAAAUCUUCAUCUAGCCCUGGCAUGUCCUGGUAUGACCACGCGAAAACAUCUUUGUAUUCGCGGAGUAAAGUGAUCAAACUACGCCUGGUACUUUCUGAAAUAGAAGUCCCAAUCUUCACUUCUUGUUUCCUCUCUUCAGUGCCCAAAUUUAUUGUUUCUACAGAUUCUUCAUGAGGCAGAACCUGUUUAUCCUCUUGUUCCACCAUUCUUAACAAUUCAGGAGACGAGACAUAAUCUUCAGCAUUUUCUUCGGCUUCAAAUUCUCCUAAGCAAACAGCCUUCUCAAAAUCAAUUUCAAGAUUCGUAACGGGCUUAUUCAUGUCGUCAAUAUCUGAGCACCUAAAAGUUGAAUGGAAAAGGAAGCUAUCGGGGGACAUCCAAGUAUUGGAAACAACAAACAAAAUGACAAUGAGGCAAAUGUAAGGAUAGGCUAUGAAAUGAGAAAAUGAUUAUGAAAUUAGUGAUAAUGCGAAAAAUCGUGACAAAAUGCAUCUUCAUUGAUAUUCAUUUAAAUGAUAAAGAGCGAAUGCAAACUCUUACAAAAGAAAUCUAUUAUAUCUAAGGACACAAUAGAAGGUUGAUGUUUAGCAUUACUCUGAAGGCUUAUAAACUACAAGAAGCUCCUCAGCAAUCCAAUUGUUCAACAUGAAACCAGGAGGGCAAGGGCGUAUCCUCGAGACAUCUUUACUUGCACCAGCUUCUUUGUCAAUGACAUUUAUACUAACAUUCUGAAAAUCCUUUUCAAUUAAUCCCAACAUGUUUCGUGGAUCCUCUUGUCCAUGGUACAUCAUUCCUGCAGAUGUAAAUGUUUUUGACAAAGGAGGGUACUCUAUUGGUUCCCAUUCUGGUUCUCGGCCCAAAGUUCUUGCAAUUCUUCUUUCUUGAUCCUUCUUCCACUGUCUUCUUCUUUGGCGCAUGUCGGGCUGGAACCCCAAACCGUAUCGGGCCUUGUGGUGCACUGGCUUUAAAGCCCUCACUAUUCCUUGCAUAUAUCUCCCUAAACCUCUUCUCGCACGAGCUCCCCUUCCUACGGUCAACUUGACACCCAUUCUGGUAUUUCUCGACAGUUUUGGCAUUGGAAUUCUAUUUCCCUCAGCGACGAAAGUGGCAUUGAUGAAUUCAAGGGAUCGAAAGGAACAUUCCACUGCAUCCUUGCUUACUUCCAGGUAUGGCGCAUCAGCAGAGAUAGAUGCGAUGAUGUCUUCUUCGCCCUCGACUGUGACCAAACAACCAUCCAUGAUGAAUUUCACUUUUUGAUGGAGGGAUGAUGGGACUGCUCCAGCAGAAUGAAUCCAAGGUCUUCCCAAAAGGCAGUUAUAAGAGGGUGUAAUGUCCAUGACUUGGAAUUCGACCUCAUAUAUGUAGGGGCCCACUUCCAAAGGGAUUUCGAUCUUUCCCAUGACUUCACGCCUCGUCCCGUCGAAGGCCCUUACCGUGGAAUGACAGGGCUUUAAGUAGGACAAAUCUAUCGGUAUUCUGGAAAGUGUAGCCAAUGGCAUAACAUUUAAUGCUGACCCAUUAUCGAUGAGUACGUUCGGUAUUAUGUAGCCCUUGCAGCGGGUCGUGAUAUGCAGCGCUUUCACCGAACCUCUACCAUUUAGCGGUAUCUCAUCAUCACUAAAAGAGAUGAAGUUGUCCGCAUUCAGAUUUUUUACCCACCUAUCAAGCUUUUCGACAGAUAUGUUGUUGGCCACGUAAGCUUGAUUUAACACCUUCAAUAAAGCGUUCCGGUGUGGCUCUGAAUUUAACAGUAGAGAUAGAACUGAGAUUCGCGCUGGCUGCUUGCUCAGUUGUUCCACCACACUAUAUUCGCUGUGCUUAAUAAAUUUCAAGAAUUCUUGAGCUUCUUCCUCAUUCACAGGCUUUUUAGUUUCUUGCACUGGUGGAAUUUCUUGCUCGACUUCGACCUCGUGCAUCACUGCUUUCCCUUUUUGCUUCGAGUCGCUACUUUCCUUUACCGGUUCAACUUCUUUAGAAUAGCAUCGUCCACUUCGAGUAAAAUGACCUACCUCCCCAACAUCUUUAAUUAUGGCUUUGGACUUUUCAACUUCCGGUGUAACGAUAUUAACAUCAUAUCUCCAUGGUACUGUUUUGUUGUCCUUAUACGGGAAAGGAGAUGGUACUUCAAUUACCAUCUGUGGUUUCAAUGGCUCUCUCAUCGCGUCGUAAUAAAUUACCAACGGUCGAUCAGCACUAUAAGGGGGCCCUGAUGAUUGGCUAUCAGAGACGCAUACUUCUCUUUCGUUGGCAUCUUCACUCUUGUUAAGGACCUUGAUCUCCUUAUUAUUUAUCCAGUCUUGAAGUAACCUUUUAAAGUCAUCGCACGACUGAAUGUCGUGCCCAACAAUCCCAUGAAAAUUGCAAAAACUUUGACCUUCUUCUCCAAAAACUCUAUCAGAGUGACAGAGCAAUCCUUUCUUAACUAAUACCUCCCAGAUUUUCUGCAGAGGCGUCCUUAUUUCUGCCACACAUCUUCUGACCUUCCAUUCAUCCUCUUUCCCCACUGUGCUCACAUUCCCUUCGGUAUGGUUAGGGAACGGGUUCCUCGUGGCAUUACUAGCACUAUCGAAUCGUAGGAUACCCGCGUCAAUGAGUCCUUGAACUCUCCUUUUGAAAGCGAGACAGUUCUCAAUAGAGUGCCCUUGGUUCCCUGCGUGGUAUGCACAACUAGCGUUUGGAUCGUACCACUUUGGGUAUGGAGGUUUAAGGGGUGCCAUGUAAUGGGGAGAAAUUAGCUGUUUUUCUAAAAGUUUUGGGUACAAUUCCCCAUACGACACAGGGAUGGGGGUAAAUUGCGAUCUCUCGGGAUUAGGCCUUGAUGGUCUUGGUUUAUUUCUGGGUUGGCUUUGGGCGGGUACCGUGUUUUGUGGGAAAGUGGUGACGGGUCUUUGGUUGUUCGUGGCGUAUACGGGGCAGGACGGAUGUGGUGCUUGGUAAUAAGGGGUUUGAGGGGGAUAAUGGAAAUUCGAGGGUGGAUAAUCUCGAGGUCGGGGUUGAUUAGGAUACGAAUUGGGAAUGUAACGACUCCCAGUUCCCACCAUGAGGGCUUCUAGCUCUUUCUUCCUUAAGGGUGCUGCUUUUCUUGAGCCUUCUAAUCCUUCCAUUCUACCGCUUUUGACGGCAUUCUCUAUGAGUUCACUGGAUAUUACAAUAUCCGCGAAAUCUUUCGUGGCAUUUCCCACUAAUUUGUCAUAAAACGGUGCCUUUAAAGUAUUGAUAAAGAGAACGGUUAUCUCCGUUUUUGUUAGUGGGGGUUCCACUUGAGCUGAGACGUCUCUCCAUCUCUGCGCAUACUGUCUAAAGGUCUCUGAUGGAUUUUUCUCCAUCAUUUGCAACGUCAUACGGUCUGGCACCAUAUCCGAUACAUGCUUGUACUGCUCGCAAAAUGCUGACGCCAAGUCCUUCCAGGAUCGAAUCUUUUCUCUACUAAGUUGAUUGUACCACCGUAGAGCUGACCCCAUUAGACUAUCUUGAAAGUAAUGUAUGAGUAGUUUAUCCUCGUUCACAUAACCGGUCAUCUUUCGACAGAACAUAAUGAGAUGUGAUUUUGGGCACCUUGUCCCAUCAUACUUCUCAAAGUCAGGCACUUUGAACUUCAGAGGCAAAAUUAGAUCAGGUACCAAACUAAGUUCCUUGGCACCUAGUGCGGAGAAGACUUCAGUGCCUUCUAUUGCUUUGAGUCUUUCCUCUAGACUCCUAUAUUUUGCGUCAUGGUUAUCCAAUUUCAACUUGGCUACCUCUGCUGGGUCAUCCAGAUCUGGAACUAGUGGAUUAGCAGGACUAGCCUCUGGGUUCAACGCUAACAUUCCUUGCCCCAAAUUAGUGGGUGGAGCAGGUGGCAUAGGUCGAUGUUCCAAGCCAGUGGGUUUCUCUUGAGUAUACCCUCUUUGUAUUGUAUAUGCGGGCGGUGGAGUGAAUCCCGGGGGAUAGAAUGGAUCUUGAUCAUGGUGAAUUCUUGACCGAGGUUCCAUAACAUCGGAGUUCUGCAUGGGUCCCUUUCCUUUGACCAAAGUUGUCAUCAUCUCCAUCAUUUUAGCCAUCUGAUCUCUUUGCUCGAGCGAUUCCUCUCGAGAUCUCACCAUUAGGUCUCUCGUCUCUUGUUGCGACUUGGCCAGUUGCUCUUGUAAUUCCUUUUGAGCCCUUUCCAUCCUUUCAAUUCUCUCAUUGAAUUCAUUCUCCAUUACUCUAGCUUGUCGGCGCGUUUUAUACGGAUGACGUGGUUCCAGUCUUGAAGUCUGGCAACUGCGAAUUGUACGCUUUAAUCUCAGCGAACGAGUAUGGGAUAUGCAAUGAAUGAAUUGAUGCAUGAAUGAAUGCAUGAAUGUCAAAUGAAUGUAAGUUAUGAAUGAAAUGCAAGAAAUUGGUGUUGAUUUCAAGAUAGCCCCAUAUUUAGGCAUUUCAUUUAUCAACAUAGUCUAUUACACAAAGUUCUCAUUUUUCCAACAGUUACACAAAUUUCCUAGCCACAUUGCCUUGUUUCUUCACUUGCUCUAAAAACUCUGAUAUGCUCGAUCUUUGACUCGGAGGGAAUUGGCAACUAAGAACUUCGGCUUCAUCUGAUAAUUGAACAACUUGUAUAGCCGCUUUACGAAUUUCAUUGAUCAAGAAGUCAAGUUGCAUUUCUUUUUCUUUGAGAGUUCCUUCAUACGCGUGAAUGUCCCUAUCGUACUGCUCACUCUUUUCUUCUAGAGCCUUCAAGAGGUUAUCUAAUUGUUGUUGACGAGAUUGCAGCAUAUUUUCUAGAUCUCGUGUUUUCCUUUUUAAUUCUUGAUGUUCAGACUGACUAUUCGCCAAUUUUGCAGUCACUAUUUCAUACUUGGCGUUCUUCCUUCUUAACUCUAUCACAGCACGCGCAGCCUUUUCCUCUUCUUUCUUUGCUUUUCCCUUCCAAAACUCCAUUCCUCCCUUGAUAUUGCUAAUUUCUUCCUUCCAUUCUGCUGUCGACUUGCCCAACCCGCUAUUCUUUAUAGUGUUUCUUAAUUUCUUGUUUUCCAAAUGAAGGUCCCUUAAGUCGUUUCUCACAAUCUCGGCUUCUCUUUGUACUUUUUCAGUCCUGGACCUUUCAACCUGAACUUCAAUCUUCAGUUGAUAAUUUUCUUCUUGAAGGGCACUAAGGUCCCGAGACAUCUUGGCCUUUUCUCGUUCGAAUUCUUGUCUUGCCAUUUCUAACUCAGACGGCGUUUCCUCCGAGAAAGGAUUCUGGAUGGUGUAGUUUGUUGAUGAGAUUUGCUGACUAUUUACCCGUUGUUUCCUCCAUAUGUCGUAAUCUUGGGUAAGGGUAUCAACAUACAAAGCUAAUUCCAUGAAAUGAAUUUCCUUCCAAUACUUUGCAGUGUCUCGGACUCUCUUCAUAUAUCCUUCACCCGCGAAAGAGAACUCGAACUGUGCUAAUCCUCCAGUUGUGGGGAGAAAUUGUCGCGAAGAAAAUUGCCUUUGGACUAAUAGUGGAGCAUAUCCAACUCCUCCCCAUAACCCGAGUAAAGGUACCCAAUCUUGGCUUCCACAUUUGUAUAGCAGAACUGAAGGACGGAUCCAGGGUGCUCUCCAUGUUAUAUUCUCGGCGCGAAGAUUCUGAAAAACUGAUACCCAAUGUUGCUUGGUGACUUCCUUCGGCCAUUCUUUAUUGAGGUAAGCUUCUAGCGGGGAGAAUGUUUUAGAAAACAUAUGGAACGGAGCGCGCUCUACCUUCCAGAAGUGACUCAAAAUCCAAACAUUGAGCAACUGCGCGCAUCCGAUAAAUCGUCCCUCCCCUUUUCUUCGACAACUACUUAAGGACCUGAAGGUCUCGGCUAGGAUGGUCGGGACAGGGUUGAUUCCUUGUUUUAACCUUUCGAAGAAAUCAACUACUGCAACUUCGAGAUGUCCGAGAACUUUUGGGAAAAUGACCAAACCGUAAAUGGCCAAAGCGAAUAGAUUUACCCUUUUCAGCAUGUUGGGAUGGUUCAGAGCCAAAUCUCGUAGGGAGGACCAUGGAAUGCAAAUGGUUUCAUUCUUCUUCUUUAUCUGUUUUUCGGCCCAUGCAUCAGUCAUGUCUGUCAGUCUCACUAACUUUUUCUUGAAGGUCAUCGGCUUAGGCUCCUUCACAUAUAUUUUUCCGAAUUGUACAUUGUCGAUGCGGAGUAAAGCAGCAUACUCUUCUAUGGUUGGAGUCAUGUCUUCUUGAUUGAAGGUGAAACACUGAUAAGCUGGGUCCCAGAACCAAACCAUGGCUUGAAUCAACUGUUCGUCUACACGGAUGGUGAUCAGGUGAGCUAUAUCUCCAUACCUCUCAGUGAAAAUGUCUCUAGUGUCUGAAUCCCACUGAUUCCAAAUUCGAACCAAAUCCUCAAAGUUAUUUUGGCGAACAUUUACAGUUAUAUGUUCGGGCAAAUUAGCGACACACCCUUCCACUAGACUAUCCCCCUUUUCUCUCUGAAUUUUUAGAGACCAGUCCCGAACCACGGCAUUCUUCUCGGUUAUUUGUGUAAUUGACUCCUCCAUCAGAAACCCAUUUUUUUUGGCAACCAACUUUUAAUCAACACCUUCCUAAUAUGAUGCCUAUGAUGCAUGAUGAAAAUAAAAGUAAAAACAAAUAAACUUGGUUAGUAAACACAACAAAUAUAAUUUGAAAAACAAAUUAAACUACCCAAUCCAAUUAUUUUGCAUAAACAGCGUAAAUGAAAGGCAAAACGCAUUUUCCCCGUGUACUUAUUUUAAUGACUAUAAGCGGACAGAGGUUCAGCAUGGCUCUAAUUGGAUAGCUCGUAUGGUUCACUAUAUGCGGUUUUGGUUCUAGGUGGGUACUCGAAUCGUCUGCACUGUCAUCUACUAAGAUUAGUACAGAGCCUCGGUCAUGGCCCAUCAUAGGCUUACGAUGAUCAAUUCGAGGGAUUACAUUUACUUAUGCCUAUGCGGAGGGACAAGUUAACUCACGAAAGCAUAAGUCAUAUGUAACCCGAAAGUAUUCACUAGCCUGUGCGGAGGAACGAGUUAACUCACGAAGGCGUAGCGUUUACUUUCUCUUAACAGGGACGAAGCCCGGGUAUAGAGCUCAUGUUAUGCAAAAAAAAAAAUGCAAGUGCACGGUGUGUGGGGAGAAACUUGUAAACCUUUACGUUUUAUUUAGAAAAAACUAAACCAAAAAUAAAAUCGCAAAAAUUUAAAGCUGAAAAACAACCUGAUAAAACAAAUUAGAAUAUGUACAACACAAUGCAAAUGCAUGAUUUUUUUUUAAAAACAAAAAAUUUAAGGAUCACGACUAAAUGUUAAUUUGAACAAGAAAUUUUGAAAAUUUUGACAACACGCGUUUAACAUUAGACUCGACUCUCGAAAAAAAAAAAAGUCCCCAGUGGAGUCGCCAGCUGUAGCAACCUAAAAAUUUGGCAAUAGGCGCUAGUUGAAAUGAUUAUUGAAAAAUUAAAGUUUCAAAUUUUAUUUACAAAAGAGGAGUCGCCACCGAUCUUUUUUAGGUAUGAUCGGACACCAAAUAAAAUCCUUUUUUAGAAGAAUUUUUUUUUAAACUUUUCUAAAAAAGAGACAAUUUUAGGUCCACGUCAAAAUCCAGAAAAAAUUAGGGUCCGGGAGUCGGUUACGCGCGAGGAAGGUAUUAGCACCCUCGCGACGCCCAAAAUUGGUAUCUCGUUAAAUGCAUGUUGUCCUAAUUUUCAAUAAUACGAGUUCCAUUUAAUAUUUAGUCGUGAUCCGAUUGAAAUACGAGAACCCUUUUUUUUUUAAAAAAAACACGAGAAUUUUGAAGCGCAGUAUUUCUUUUUUAAAACGAAAGUUUUUUUUUUAAAACACGAGAAUUUUUGAAAACACGAGAAUUUGUAAACACGAAAAUUUUAGAAACACGAAAAUUUUUAGAAAAAACGAAAUUUUCUUAAAACACGACUUUUUUUUUUGAAACACGGGAAUUUUUAAAACAGGGAAAUUUUAGAAACACGAAAAUUUUUAAAACACGACAUUUUUUUGAAACACGAUUUAAAAAACAAAAAUUGAAAUGCGAGAAUAUUUUGAAACACGAAUUUUUUUUUAAACGCGAGAAUUUUUGAAAACAUGGAAACUUUGAAACACUGGAGUUUUUGAAAACACGAGAAUUUGUGAAACAUGAAAAUUUGUGAAAACACGUAAAAUUUUUUUUAAACACGAAAAUUUUUGAAACGCCAGAAUUUCUGAAAACACAAAGAUUUUUGAAAACACGAAAAUUUUUGAAAACACGAAAACACAAAAUUUUGUCGAAUACUGAAUUUUUUUGAAAACACAAUAAUACCAAAAAUAUUCACGAAAUUUUUUUUUAUUUUUUUUAUUUUUUUUAUUUUUUAUUUUUUUAUUUUUUUUGAAACACGAGAUUUUUUUUGAAAACACGAAAACACGAAUUUUUGAAACACGGAAAUUUUUGAAAACACGAUUUUUUUAGAAAGAAACACGAAUGUAUUUUUUUCGAAACACGGGAAAUUUUAUUAUUAUUAUUUUUGAAACACGAGAAAUUUUGAAGACAUGAAUUUUUUUUUAAAAAAACGAUUUUUCUUUAAAAAUACGGUAUUUAACACAAAUCGAUGAUAUUCACCCCGAUAUGGCGAUGAAACUAUCGAAUUAGUGUUAAAUUAAUUCAAUUUAAUAUUUAAUCGGGAUUCUAAUAAAACAAGAGGAUUUUUAUUGAAAUACGAGAAAUUUUGAAUAUUUUCAAUUUUUUAUAAGGGCGUCCCGUAUUUAACACGAGCCAUCGAUAUUCAUCCAACAUAGCGAUGAAUUCGAUAAUUCGAUGCUAAAUCAGUUCGUUGCCUUAUGCAUUAAAAUAUUUAUCAUUAUUAUUAUUUAAAAAAAUAUGUAAUUAAAAUGACAUAAUAAUAUCUAUGAAAAACUAUUUUUAAACAUACUAUUUUAAAUUAAAUAAAAUACCAUUUAAAUACAUUAAACAAAAUAAAAUAGAUUAAAAAGAAAAAAAGAAGAAAAAAAUUCACCCAAAAGACCAAAGUCUUGGAGGACAAGCCCUUUUUCUUUUUUUGCUGCAAAUUGAGGCUUAGUGGGCCGUCAGUGGUGUUGGGCCUGCGCUGGGUCGGGUCCACUGGUGGUGGGCUGCUGGUGGCCUACCAAAAAAUGGGUUUUAUUUUUUCUUUAUUUUAUCUUUUUCUCUCUUUUUCCUUUCAUCUUUCUGUUUCUUCUCUUCUUUUUUUUUUUUCAGUUACCCUUUUUUCUUCUUUUGCUUGCUGUUUUUUUCUGUCUUUGUCUGCUUAUUUGUGGAGGUGCGACGGUGGUGGGAGUGUAAGGGCGCGCCGGCGAGCACGGUAGCGGCGAAGGAGCGGCGGAUUUUUUGAAGUUAUUUUGUUUUUUUUUUUUUUGCUACUCUUUUGUUUGCUUUGCUUUUCUUUUUGGUUGCUUGCGACUUUUCAGGUGGUGGGGGCAAGGGGACGACAACGGUGGCGGUGGUUGAACGACGGUGGUGAGGGCUUUUGCUUGCUGCUGCUUGAUUUUUUUCUCUCUUUUUUUGCUUUUUGGUUGCCGAAAAUAAAGAACCCCCCUUUCCCUUUCCUUCAAUUUUCUUUUAAAUGCUUCAAUUUUUGUCGUUUUCCUUCUUGUUUUCAGGUGGUGGGUGAAGAAGGAGCAGCCACCCAUGUUUAUGGCCUGAAAAUCGGGGAAGUGGGUGCCCCAAAUCACGUAACUUGUCUGAAGGACCAAAUCACAAAUGCAGCAAAACUUCUGGGGCUAAACGUAAUUUUUAGAAAAUUUAGGAUUAAAAUGAAAUUUAAUGAAAGUUUAAGGGUCUAAGUGAAAUUUAAAGAAAGUUUAAGGGUCAAAAUGAAAUUUAGGAAAAGUUUAGGGGUCAAAAUGCAAUUUUUAUUUUUUAAUUUUUUUUUUGAAAUUUUGAAAAUUAAAUACAAACUCUAGUCGGACAAAAAUUUAGUGCUUACAAUACCAACAUGCGUUGACUUGCAUUUUUAGGGUAUUUUGAGGUCGUUUUCUAAUUUUAAGCCCUAAGUAUUGUAGUAAUAUGAAGGGCAAUUUAAUCUUUGAGUUAUUUUGUAAUGACCCAAAAUUCACGGGCACCGAAAAAGUGCAAUAUCUGGCCUCCGACUUGGUACAUCGAGUUCAUAAGUAAUUAUUAGAAAUAUUUAUGAGUCUGGUUAUGUGUCUAAUUAGGUUUUAAUUAAGUGAAUUUAGCUUAAUUAAGAGUAAUUAGUAAAAAUGACUAAAUUGAAUAAGGAUAAAAGUUUAAUUGUAGAUUAAAGAAAACUCAAAUAAGCUAAAUAGGCAAUUAAAAUAUUAGAUAUUUAUUAUUAAUAUUAUUAUUUGAUAUUAUAUUAUUAAAUAAGUUAAAUAAUGACAAAUGUAUGGUGAUGAAACCAUACAUUUGUAAUAAAUAGAUAUAUGCACACUUGUUAAAUAAUUAUAUAUUACUUAUUAUCAAAGUAAAAGAUAUUUAUUAUUAUAUCAUAAUAAUUAAACUAAAUGAAAUAAAAUAAUAAGAAACAAAGUAUAGAAAAGAGAAAGGCAACAAAAGCUUAAACGAAAAAGGAAGGGAGAAAAGGGAAAGAAAAAAAAAAAAGGAGAAACUAAGGUUUUAAAGCUUGGAGUUUAAUUUGGUAAGUCAAUUAAGUCCUUUUCUUUUAAUUUUGAUGUUUUAGAAGCUUUAGAAUAAAAUUUUGUUGAAAUUAAGUUUAAAUUUUGGAAGUUCUUGGUUUUUUGGACAUGAGUCAUGAUGAACAAAAUGAUGAAUUAGGGGUUUAAUGGAAUGAAUUUCAAGUUAGAAUUUAUAGGAAGUAAAUUGUAAAAGAAGCUAUAAGUUUUGUGUUAGAGGGACUGAAUUGAAAGAAACUUGAAAUUAGGGUUUUAAUAUAAACAUUGGAUAGUUAAGUUGAAUAUGACGAGAUUAAGUAGAAAUGAAGUGUGAAUUGUGUUAGAAAGUAAAUGAGUUAAUUAGGACCAAAAUGAAAAUAGGGUAUAAAUUGAAUAGAAAUUGAAUAAUUUAUUGUAAAUUGGUAUUGUAUUAAUAGUAUGAAUUAUUUUAAUUUUUGUAGCUAGCAAAGAACCCGAGGCAUCGACACAGAAAGGAAAAGAAAAGAUCAUCAAGGAGUAGACAUGAGAAUUACGAUUUGUAUUACUAUAAGUCAAAUUAUUUAUUAUCAAAUAUUUGUUAAAUUAUGUAGUUGGUAAGUGAAUUAUGAGGUAAGUGUCAUUGUUGAAUUGAAUAGAAAUUGAGUUGAAUAAUAAUUAUGUAUUGGUAUUGAAUAAUGAUAAUUAUGUAUUGGUAUUGAAUUGUGAUUGAAUAAUUGAAUUGAAAAUGAGUUUGGAAUUGAAAAUGAAAUUAAAUUGAAAAAUGAUUUGGAUACCCUAUUAACUAGUCGGGCUGAGUCGGAUAUAAUUUUUAUGCCAUAGGAUUCGAAGAGUAUGAGAUUUCUCGGCUUUGCCGAUCAGGCACUAUAUGUGUUAUAUUAGAUACCAUGUGUGUUGUAUCAGGCACUUUAUGUGUCGUAUUACUGCUUCUAAUAAAUUGAUCAGGUACUGAGUAUCGUUUUAGACGCAAUGUGCCGUACUGGUGUGUUUGGUUGGAUCCGUGUAUCCACCAAAGUCCUAGUUAUGUUAAUAGGGGUAAAUAAAUGGAAGAAUGAAUUGAACAAUUGAGUUAUUGAAGAGAUGAGAAAGUUGAAUCUGUAAAUCGAAUUUGAGAAAUGUAUUUGAGACUGAAAAAUGAAAGACAUAAACCGAAGGUUCAUGAGAUAAUUGAUUUCAAUUUGAUGAUAUAUGAUAUCAAUUGACAAAAUUGUGACUAUCGUGAUUUGAAGCUAAUGAAUGAAUUAAUGCAUGUUAAGCAAAUUGUUAUAUGUUUAUUACCUAUAUGUUUAUAAAUAUUUAUUGUUAUUGUAGUUUGAAUUAUGGUAAUACCACUGAGUAUAGGUAUACUCAGUGUAUGGUUGUUUCCAUGCGCAGGUCAGUAGAAGUCAAAGGACACAGUUUAACAUCCAACUCAAUUUUCGACAUCAGCACAAAAUUUGGUGAUGAAUUCUUCUUUUGGUAAAACUAGCAUGUACUAGGUGUUGUAAAUAUUACUUGAAUAUGUUAUAUAAUUUUUUGUUGUAAAGAAUGAUAUAUGGUGUUUUGGUAUCAAACUUGAAAUGGAAAUUGAAUGAAGUUUUUUUUAGCAAAUUCUAUAUGGUAGUAAAAAUGUUAUUUAGUCAAGUUGAUAAGUUAACGUUUAAGCAUGAUAUGGGAAUGUUAAGUGUGUAAAUGUAUUGGUUGAAACAUUGGUUUUGGAUUGGGUUUGAUUUAUAAUUUGCAGGGAGGUUAGGUUGCUAUAAAAGGGCUUAUAUUGAGUCCACACAGCCUAGCACACGGGCGUAUGGCCAGACCGUGUGAGACACACGGCUAGCACAUGGGCAUGUGAACUAGCCGUGUGUCUCCUGCAUCUUAAAAUUUGAAAUCAGAAUAGCACACGGAUAGAGCACAUGGGCGUGUGACUUAGCCGUGUGAAGGACAUGGCUUUAAGCAUGGGCGUGUACCAAGGCCGUGUGAAAACUUUACUUUGUAACCUUAAGUCAGAUUAGCACACGGCCUAAGCACACAGGCGUGUGGCUUGGCCGUUUGAACCUAGUUCUUCAUGCUUAUGAAGUCAGAAAGCAACACAUGUAAGGGACAUAAGCGUGUCCUAGAAUACCUUGGCCGUGUGAGCCUUACGGCUCAACAACACGGGCAUGUCAUGGAGUUACACUCUAACCCACACGGGAGUAUGAUCCCUACACCUAGGAAAAUUUUGAAAUUUCAUGAAAAAAAUUUUCGGAGCAUUCAAACAAGUCCCGAUCCACUGCUAAUGUAUAUUUUGGGCCUCGAAGGUUCAUUAGUGGGACUAUAUGAUUAAAUUAUAAAUAUGUAUGUUAUUUAUUUUUGAAUUAAUUGUAAAUUGUCUAAUAUGUCCAAUAAUGCCUCAUAACCCUGUUUCGACGACAGUUUGGGGUUAGGGGGUGUUACAUAUUUCCUAUGUAAACAACAAUUUAUUUUUCAAUUAAGGGGUAGAGAAUUAGAGAUGAGUAGUCAGUAGAUUUUAUAUUAGAAUUUUUCUCUCAGAAAUUUUCUUAGAUUAGGUUUCAGUUUUAUCUUUUCACUUUUUAUUUUUAUCUCUUAUUUCACUUGGUGUGUGGAGUUCCUAUUUUUGAUUAAUCUUUGCGAUUGGAGACGAUUUAAGAACUUUUCAAUCAUCUGAUUUAUCAAUGAGAAUUUUUUCCACUCAUUCUUAUUUUAUAUUUUGUUCGUUAUUUAUUUAAUGGAAUGUUUGUAUGAAAAUAAGAAUGAGUUAUGUGCUUUCAUGGAUUUGUAUAAAUUAGUUGAUUCAUCAAUUAUUUGAUUCAGUAUUAUUCCUAUUCAAUCGGGUAUUUAUUUAAUUUUGCCAAACUAUUAAGAAUACUAGAAUUGACGUCUCUAAUAAAAUAUGUAGACAAAGGAAACCGAUAGGAGAAUUUUUCGUGUAUUUUUUGGUAAAUGUGUGCCAAGCCGUGAGACCGAAAGCAAAGUUGUAUUCCUAAGUGAGACCGAAAGGGUAGCUUAGGUGAUAAUCUUUAACUAGGAAGAGACCGAGAGGGUAUUCCUAAGUAAGAGUAGUAAAUAAUUCAAUCGAGUUAGGGUAUUAACUUAAUUAAAAAUUAAUUAAUCAAUUUAUCUUAGAUUAACGAAAUUGCAUGGUUGAAACAAGAAAUAGGAAAUUCCUUAAUUCCUAGUAGAUAUUAAGUUUAUAAUUAGUUUUAUCUCAAUUCGAAUUUUGUCUGCACUACUAAUUUAUGACUCGAUUAGAUUAAUACUUGCUUUUAAAUGAUUGAUUUAAUAACAAAAUAUUCUAAUAUUUGGCAAUCCCUUAGGUUCAAUCCUCGAAAUACUCUCGUAUUUCAUUUUAAAUUUCUAUAUUAUAAUUUGACAUUGUACACUUGCAGUUAAAAAACUGCUUUUAAUUUUUUUUAUAAAUUGUUUGUUUUCUGCGCACGCGGUCAAAUUGUUGGCAUCGUUGUUGGGGAUUGUAAUAGUGUAAAUUUAUUAUUAAAUUAGUUGUUCUUAGAAAAGAAAUUUCAAUUGAAAGAUAAGCAAGUUAGAUAGUUCUUUACUCUUCUUGUAUGGUUAUUUUCAUUUUCAUUUUUUGUUUUUGUUAUUAUGUUUAUUUACUUUGCUGGAAAUUUUGACUCAACUAUGUAUAACGAUGGAUAUAAAUGGAAAGGUGAUCAAUACGAAUAUGAUGAGAGGUCGAGUUGGGCAAACAAAGAUUUGACGAACUAGUGGAGUAAUGGUGGUGAGUAUGGAGGGCAUGAGUAUUUAUAUGAACAUUCUUAUAAUUUGUAUGGAUAUGCAACUGAGAGGGAUAGCUAGAAUAGAGGAUGGUCCACCAAUUAUUCGACUUAUGAUCCCCAACCCCAAUGUUACUAUCCAGAUUGGGGUGAGGAUUAGAAUAAAUAUAAACAGGACCUAUCACUUGUUGCUUGUGUUAGUGCAUUAGAGGAUAACAUGUCUUCAUGCAAAGUUUCCAUGUCCUCUAUUUCCAAACAGAUGGAAUAGUUGUUGGAACUUGUCAAACGACGAUUCGAAGUGGACACUCCAAAAGAAGAGGUUGAGCAUGAUGUUUCUGAAUCUGAAGAUGAAUGUCACUUUAUUAUUGUUAAGCGUGAUAAGUUGGAUGUUCAACAAGACUUUGGAAUUGGAGACCAUAAUUAAAACUUGAAUGCGGAAGAAAGUGUCUCUAGUUCAAUUGACAUAGGAUUAGGAGUAGGAGUAGAUGUAGAGUUAGAUGCUGAAGAGAAGCUUAAACCAAAACCGAGGUUGCAACAUGAGGAUGUGAAGUCGUGACUACAUGAUAUGAUGUCGCAAGAAGGGAAACAAAGACAAAAUCAAGGCAUCCAAGUCAGUAUGUCAUGUUGUGAUGAGGUAAGUCUUGACGUUGCGAUGAGCUACCUUGAAGUCACGAUAACACUAAUUGAGGUCGCGACGAGCUCUAUUGUACCAGCCCUAGUAAUUGAAAUCUGGAUACAACGUCACAAUGAGUAAGGUUUUAAUGUCACGAUGGGGUGACAAAUUUAAAACUCUAUCAUCCCUAAGCCUGCAUUUAAAUAGUUUCUUAUGUCUUCUAAACUCUUCUCUCACCGUUUUUGCUCUCCACAUCAUCAGCAUCUUUUCUUUUUUCUAUCUUUUUAUUUUUAUUUGUUGUUUUAGUUUUAGUUUUACAUUAUUUUAGUUUGAUGUUAUUUUGUGUAGUGUUUUAUUUUUUAGGGAUUUUUCUGUUCGUUUGGAGCACACGUUGACCUCGAUGCCAAUGUGAUACCGAGGUUUUGGCCUUUUUAGAGGAAUUUUCUUGUUUCCACUUAUUAUAACGCCCUAAUUUAUUUAACUUUGUUUUUAUGAAUUUUUUCAUAAAUAAAUAUUUAUUUUAGUGGUUAAGUGUUUGUAUGUUUGAGGUCUUGGGUUCAAGUCCUAUUUUUAGAAAAUUAUGCUAUUUUUUAUCCUAGCCUUAUUUCUAGUGGUUUGACUUAUGCAAUACUUUCGGCCAACUCAUAUUAGAAUGAGCAUGUUGGUUCAAGUGGUAAAGUGUUAGCUUGUCUUAGGGUCUUGUGUUUGAACGAAGCAUGUUAAUUUUUACUUUUGUGAGUAUGUUCCGGUUGUGUUUUAAAAGUUUGGUGAGAUUAAAAAUCUGUGGUAGUUAGAUGAGAUUAGUGGGUAGGAUUCUGUGAGAUUGUGUUGUUAGUGGGGGAGUUGUUUGGGAGUUUUAUUUUUUUAAUUUUAAUUAAUUAAUUUUGUUUAAUUUUAAUUUUGUUUUCCAAAAAUAGUCCCCUCUGGAUUUUACGUCACUUUUUUGUCUUUUUUCUCUUCUAUGUACCAUUUUCUUCUUUUUCCCCUCUUUUGAGUUUCAAAUCAAAAUUGUGUGUUACCUUUGUGGAUCGACGUCACUAUUUCAAUUCAUCAUCUUUUUUUAUGCAACUUUCAAUUGCGUUUGUUUCAGUAAGUUUUGUAUAGGUGUGGUUUUAUUGUUUCUUGGCUAGUGAUUAAUGGGGUUUUUUGUUUAAUUCUUGGUUAGGGGAAAGGCAAGAAGCAAUUGGUGCUCUUCCAACAAAUUGAGCGUUAGGUGUUUUCUGUUCGUUGUUGGUAAGUGUGCGAAUGCAUUGAAUGUUGUUGUGUGGCUUUGUUUUUGAAUAAUUUGUAUUUGAGUUUCAUAAAUGUUUACUAAAAUUGGGUGUUGGGAUACUGUUUUUAGUGUUGGUGGUCUUGAAGUUGAUUUUGCAUCAGAAUAGAACCAGGUAUGUAACAAAAACGCGAGAAAACGACGGUUGUUGAAAGCAAAAAAUCUGGCCUAUCGACGACACACGGGCAUGUGCCCCGCCAUGUGGUAGGCCAUGUGCGACACACAGUCGUGUGGCGGGUUGGGCGUGUGGGCCAUACAGGUGUAUGGGCCUAUAUGGGCAUAUAGGCCCAAAAUUCAGAAUUUUCCCUAAUGUUGCACACGUCAAUUCAGUUGACAGUGGGCCUUCUGUUGAGUCAGUAUAAGCAAAAAAAAAACCCUAAAGCAUGAUAUUUUCUACUCUGUUAGAUUGGUAUGAGUACUAUGAAAUACAAUAUGUAUGAUUUGAUUAUUAUGUAUAACCAUGUGUAGUGUUUGUAAACGAGUAUGUGUGACAUGUUAAUUCUAAUAUAUGUGUUACUGUCUGUAUAUAGUAUUGGGGCGAGAUAUGCUUAAGUGGAGGAAGUAUUUUGUAUGAGGUGACAUCUCGACAAUAUUCUGGCAGCAUGGCUGCGAUUAUUCUGAUAAGUUUCGUACGGACACUACGUGGUGUGUAGGGUUGGGUGGGUGUUUUAUAUCUUAUGUGGUGUAUUGGGAUGGUCAGAGUUGGUGUGUAGAGGAUGGGGGUAGGACUAUGCAUAUUUGUUUCUGUAUGAUUCUGUUGAUAAUUUGAUUAUGUAAAGGAUAUAUGCCUGCAUCUGUCCUAUUCUGUUGUAUGAUAGAAUCUGAAUUUAUGUUUCUGUUGAGUUACACACUGAGUUUUUAAAACUCACUUUCUGUUUGUCUGUUCUGUUCAGGUAAUCCUCAGGCUUAGGUGGGUCAGUGCGACGGAGGCUCAUUUGUGACCACUUGUCUGUAAAUUUCAUAUACUUUAAAAGUUUACUUAAAUUUCUGGUUUUCAAAAGUUUUGUAAUUUUGGGACUCUCUGGACUUUUGGAUUUUACUUUUGGAUUUGGUUUAGAUUUGAGAUUGCUUGCGUCUUUCAACAAAACAAUUUACAAAACAACUGUUUUAUGUGAUCUACGCUUUUGAGAAAAUAGACUCGAUUUUCAAAAUAUAAUGACUUAUAAAACUUCAGCUUCAAAUUAUUGUUUUGUUUGAAAGAAUAAGCAAUCGAUGGUUUUAUUAAUGAAUGUAACAACAGAUUCUUUAAAAUAAAAAGGUAUAAUGUUUUUAAAGGAAAAGACAGAUUUCUAAUUUUUCUUUGUAAUAUCUCCAGAUUCGGCCAUAACGUCUAGGUCGGGCUUGGGGUGUUACACUUAUAAUUCAUUUGUUUUACAUUGAGGACAAUGUAUGUUUUAAAUAUAUCAAGGGGAGUACAUAGAUUUAUAAUUUUCUUGUUUUCUUUGUUUUGCUCGUUAUCUUUUGUUAUAUAUAUAUCAAAUAAUAAUAAUUUGUUUGUGCUUGAAUUGUAUGUUGCUUAGACUAUGUUGAUACUGAGAUUAUUGGUUGUGAAUAUUAAAUUAUGUAUUGCUGUCUUUCAUGCAUGUAACUUUUGUUUGAUAUUAGGUAAUUUGGUUCUUUUUAAGAUAGAUUAAUUAGUUCAUUUUGUUAAAUUGCAUAAUAGACUAGAGGUAAUUACUUUAAUAAAUAUGUUUGAUUUUGUGUCAUAUGAUAGAUAGGUUAUAUUCAUGUUUGUAGAUAGACAUUGCUUGAAUUGAUUAUCAUUCCUUUGUAUAAUUAUAAGUAUGAAAGAAAUUGUAUUUUGUGGAAUGUUUUGAGAUGAUCUAAGGCAUUGUUUGAAUAGCUAGUGCUUAAAUGAACCCACCUUUAUGCUAUGCAUCCUAGGUUUCCCAUGUUCAAUUGAUCCUCCACUAGCUCAGCACAAUCAUAUAUGGAUAGCAUUCAGAAUUGAUACUAUGAAUGAAUGAAAACAAUGAAAGAGAAAUAGAUUUCAUGUAUUACUAUCCACAGUAAAUACAUUUUCUCAAAUGGAAUAAUAGAUGACUUAGAAAUUAAAUUAAAUUAAUUUCUUUAAUUAUUAUGUAAUUAAUUGUAAUUAGAUAAUUGAGUGAGAAGUGAAAAGUACAUUAAUUAGUUAUCACAAUUUCACCAAACGAAAUGAUUAAAUUUAUUUAUACAUAUAUUUAGACUUUUGUUUAGUCUUUUUUGAAGAUGAUGAAAUCUUAAAAUAAUAAUCAUAAUAAAAAAUUCAAGCCAUAAACUUGGGAAACACUUUAGUUAGCAAAGUAGCCUUGAAAUUAAAACACAAAAUCACAUAAAAUUAGCUAACUAAGGCUCUUCAAUAGACGAUGUGGGAUAAUAAAAGAGCCCUAAACAUUACUAGAAAUCUCACAAACAUCACUAUAUCGUAGACUCUAGAUACGAUAACCAUAUAUAACUCUAAACAAACAUCAAACUAUGAUGAUUGCUAUUUUUAUUUUCUACUCUUUUAUUUGAUCCCUCAAUAGCAAUUUUUUGGCUUUGUUUAGCUCACUCAACACAGCAGCGAUACAUGAAAUACAUCUCCAUUGGACGUCCACACUCAGCACACUGCACCCUCUCCGGAAUCCCGCCACUGUUUUCCGGUAGAAUAAGGCGAGUGCAAUGAUGGUCAUCGGUAAUCCCUUCCAACUGUUUACGAAGUGCUGGGAUAAACCCCAUUUGCUUCGCAAGUUUUUCCCAUUCAUCAAAGCUCUCCAUGCUGCUAAGCACUUUAUCUCCAUUGGCUCUCACCAUUUCAUCUGAACCAGUGAAGAACACUGCCCAUCCAUUUUCACUACCGUCAUAUGCAAGCAUCGUCAUCACUUCUUGCUUUAUAGCGUCGUUUUCAAUGGUCUUCCCAUGUUGGAUUUUCGAGUACAACAUGCUCUCUAAUCGGUUCCAAAAGAACCACAGAUUGUCAUCUUCCCAAGCGUGGCUAAGUUGCUUCUCUUUGAUUAGACCAGUAAUCUUUUUCACUCGUUCCUUUGCAUUGUUUUUGCCAAUAUAAACCAUUUCUAAGCCAAUGUAGAGAGCCUUUGCAACCCCUUUUGUUGCGGUAGUGAAACUUUCGAUCCAUUCCAUUUGCACACCACCAUAAAAACAUACCACUUUCUGUUGGCUCACCUGAUUAUAUAAGAAACCAUACAAAACCAUGAAUAAAUUAAGCAUAUUAAUUUAUAUACAUAUGUAUAUUAAAGUUAUGUGGAGAUGUUCAUGUACCCAAGUAGGUAAGUUUGGCUCAAGGCGAUCAACGAGAAGCUCAAGGGUCCAAGCUUCAGCUUUCCAAAAACUUUCUUCUUUUUCGCUGCUAAAUGGGAAAGCUGAAUUUCCCCAUAUCCACAUCAUGUUGAGUGCAUUUGGGCAUAAAACCUUUCCUUUUGGAUCCAAUGUCACCGCAAUUGGUUUCUUAACGAAACCCCAUACUUCCAUUAUGUAUUUAAUCACUGCUGGUUCAAUAGCAAAAGGAUGAUUCACUGUAUACCAUGGCAUAAUUGAUUGUAAGCUCAAAAACUUUUGUUCAUAACCAUCAUCCCAAGUUGAUCUGUCCACAAUUGGGAGCCAUAGGAUCUCAUAGUUAAGCUCAGAUGAUACCCUUUCACCUUUGUAAAGAGCCUCAAGAACUCGAAUCUCCUCUUGGGAGAUGUCAAGAUCUGAAAUAAGCAAUAAAACAUGCUUUCUUCUCAAGACAUCAUUAAGAACCUGCUAAAUUUAUAGGAAGUUAAUAUGCGGUCCAAUCAAUUUAAAAACAUGCUUGAAACUUGGAACAUGAAAUUAAAUCAACCUUGGUCUUGUCUGGAUUCAAGAGAUAAUAAGUCUCUUCCUUGCGAAAGAUUUUUAGGAGAAUCUUCAAGUUGUCCGUUUGAGGUGUUUCAAUAGUACGCUUGAAGUCUUCAAAAGCUUCCAUUAGCUUCUCCUCAUCUGCAUCUCAUUAUCAUUAUAAGUCAUCUCUUUCUAUGAAUAAAAAGGUAAAAGUAUCAUUGAGGCCUCUUAUAGUAAGAGUUAGAUUGAAUUUUGUCUAUUUUAUUUAUAAAAUUGAUAAAUUAGUCCUUAUAUGUUAAAUUAAAGAGCAACAUGAUUCUUUCUAUUAAAAAUUUCAUCAUUUUUUAUUUUUAAAAACUGGUGUCGCCUUCAUGUUAAUAUAGAAGGACUAAUUUUUAACAAUAGAAAUAAAUGAAAUUAGUAAUAUAAUAACUAAUUUGCUUUUUGAUGUAAUGUAUAAGAAUUAAUUUAUUCACUUUUUUAAUAUUUAAUAUUGGAGGUAAAAUACAUUCAAACUCUCCAUGACACUUUUAGCAUGUAUACAUAUGAUUUAUAUUUCUGAGUUCUCUAGGAUAGACUCACCAAUGCGCUGAUAACAAAGACGUAAUAGACUUUGAAGGUAUUCAUGUAUGCCACUAACUUUAUGUGCUAAGCUUGAUAGUUCCCAUGCCUCAGAAGUCGAUGUAAUGAACCUGAACGAAACAAAAGAUUUGAUUAUUGAUAGAUUUUGUCAUCAUAUUGUGUCAUUGAGAGCAUGUAAGAAAUUCAUUACUCACUCGUGUCUCAUCCCUACGAGACCCGUAAUCUGUGCAGCACAAGCGACGACACUCCAAAUGAUCCAGUAGGUAGCAGUGGGGAUAUGAGCCAUGGCGAUCGACAAUGGUGGCACAUCGAUUGAAAUAAACUCAGAAGGUAGCUCAGUGAACUCAACAAUGCACUUGGUUACAUCAAUCAUUGCAUUGAUGAGCUUGUUAAGUGCAUCAAAGCGGGGUUUCAAUGUUUGGGAAUGCUCUAAAAUGUCGGGUAACUGCUUGAGGAGAGCCACGGAUUUGGCCA
rnacentral:lncRNA from 1 species